UUGCAUCUUGUUAUAUAAUUCUUACUGCUCCCAUAUACAUCCCUAUGAUGUAUUUAUAGUAGUAGGUAAUCACAUAUUUGGCACGAUCGUUACGUCUACCCCAGAGGAUAUGGAUUGUUUCGGUUUCGAGAUCCUUAAGUACCAUCUUAGUACACGAAAGAGAGUCAUAUCGGAUAGUGAGGGGGAAAAGAAAAGGUUGAUCCUAAUUGUGGCGGUAAGUGUCUGGUGGUGGUGCUGAUGAAGUGGGUGCACUUCGAAGAUGAGCUACUUGUUAUCCGGUAUCUCAUAGUUGUACUUCCCAAACUAAUUGUCUCGCUCGAGAGUCUCCAUUCACUUCCUAUGUCUGCCCCUCAUCUUUCUCAAUAGCAAACCACAUUUGUUCCGUUCGAUUAGUGGUGUCCUGAGCUUGGUUAUCAAUACCUCGGGUGCGUCGGACCAUGACUGGGAGGGCCCGGUCAGCUGGUCCUCUAUGGCUAAUGGUCGGAGAGACCUCGGUUCCUACCCUAGUGUGGUCGUAUCCCCUGCUGGUGACUCUAUCUCCAAAUAUCAUGUGCCUAAGGGGGGCAUGGGGCCACCAGGGCCCACACGAUAUGUCGAUACUCUGACUUUACAUGGAGGAUUGAUGUCAUUGGAUUCUACAUCUGAGUCAUCAUCAUCAUUGCCCUCUGGCUCUUCCUCUUCAAGGUUCACUUAUUGACUUGGCGGGUUCACCUGCGAGUUCUACUUCGUGUUCCUCCUGUGGUUCUUCCUCUGGGUCGAGCCACCCUACUAUUCUUUGACUAGGGAGAUAAGGUUUCCUGACUAAUGAUACUCGUCUAUAGCGUAUUGCACGAAGGGCUAUGAAUACUAGAAACAAAUAGCAUACCAAUUACUCCUAUAACUCUACGACUAUUGCAUAGAUUUAGUUGAGGUUCCCUUCUUGGAGAUUAAGAGGUAUGUUUUUAGAUUCCCUAGCUAUCACGAUUUAUUCAAGACAUGUGAUGGUCGUACUUUGGAGGGAAUGUAGUUGAUCAGGCUACAUCCACUCCUUGAUACAACUAAAAACAGUCUUGGAUCAACCGAGAUACUAGCAUUAUCUUGUUCGAUUCGGUGUUAGGUUCUCGUUCCUAAUACAAGCAAGGGUGUUUUAUUGUUAUGUUUACUUAUUUUGUUCAGAGUCUGGUUAGUCCCUCUUCUGGUUUAUAGUUGCAUAUCAAUGUGUGGUUAGAUAUGCCAGUUCACUAUAAACAGAGCUCUGAUACCAACCUGUCACACCCCCGAACCAGACGGCGGAAACGUCCGAGGGCUGUUGUGACUCAAUUGAAUACCAUCACAGUGAAUAUACAUGAAACAUAACAUCAUUCAUCACCAUGCAUUGAAAUAUUACAACCGGUAGUGUUUACAUUUAGUACAUUGUUUCAAAACAUUACAUUCCCAAAAAGUAAAUUGUUCGAUACUAGUUAAACAAACAACAAGACAUCACUGAGUACAUUUUUCCUUCGAUUUACUUGUUACCUGAGAAUACAAGUAUUUUGAAAAACGUCAACAUAUAAAAUGUUGGUGAGUUCAUAAGUAAUGUUUGAAACACAGUGUUGGUAUUAUUUUGAAAAACCACUAGAAAAUCCGAUAUUUUCUGAAAAGAUUGUUGCAAGUAAGAAAAAGUGUGAAGAUCCGUAAGUAUGCUUGUUUAUUUCUACAAGCGUGAAAAAUUGUUUGACUUGGUAUGCAUCACGUAGGUGUAAGUGUUGAAAUCUCUAGGAAAACCCGAUGUUUUCCUAAUACUUUAAAUUACGCGUUUUAUUUAUUGUUAUACCGUUGCGACAUGUGUAUUCGAUAAUUCCAGGNGUACUAUUCACUUAAUCCAACCACCCUAACUUCUCAUAGCCCCACAACCGAGGAGAAAAGAGGGUGCGAAGCCCCCGCUAUUUCCAUAAGUCGUUCAAGGCUAUCGUGAAUGCGAAAGGCCCUUGGCCCGACUCGCAUUGGUGAAUUCUCGACUUUGCUAGCAGUACCAAAAGACCCUUGGGGCCCAACAGCACAAAAGCCAGUGAAAGUCCUUUUACAUGGAAUUAGGUCAUAUAAGACCCAACAACAUGUAAGCGAGUUUCCUUCGGGCCUAAAGAUCAUGUCAUUGGGCUAGCUAGGCCCAACAAGCACGAUUUGAAACUUUCGGGCCCAAAGAUGGUGUAUCGACGUCUGGUGAAUUCCCGCGUGUGUAUUGACUUCCCGUAAUUUCAGCGUGUGUAUUGUAGUAUCGUCGUGUAUAGAUUUUUGAUUCAUUAUUGAUUCGAGACCGAAUCAAUUCGUUUGGUAACGAUUUUUGGUGUUGAAGGUGUAUUAUGUUUCAUCGGUAGUCGUGGUACUAGUAUUUCAUCAUAACGGAUUUGUUGUUUAAAACAUUAGAAUUUUUACUCUUUGCAGCCCCUUUCUUUUGGAUAAAUUUACACUUUUGACCCUUUGUAUAAAAGAAUUUCCAUUUUAGUCCUUAAACCAUUUUUCUUUACACUUUAGUAUCAAAACUUGUUGAAAAGGUAUUUUUCAGCUCAAAUUUAUUUGAAAAACAGCUUUAGUCCCUCAGAAUGAAGUUUUCUCGGCUGAAACCUCUAUUUUCGCAAUUUUUACACUUUUGGCCCAAAAUAGAAUUUUUUUGCAUCUUUGGUCCCUUUUAAAUAUGAAAAGUAUUUUUAACCCUUGAAAUGGACUUGGAGCACUAGUAGUCCCCUGUUUUACAGAAAAGUACCGUUUCAGUCCCUCUAAUUUGAAAAUCUCGCAAUUUGGGCUUUAUUGGGCCGAAAAAUUCAUUUUUGGCCCAUUAUGCUUAAAAAUUCACAUUUUAAUCCUUCAAAAGAGUAAAUUUCCAGAAAAUACAUUUUUGAAACUGUUUUGACUCAUUUCAACCAUCAGAAUUUGCAUUUUGUCAUUUUGGGCCCUUUGAAUUUAUAUUUUCAACAUUUUGAGCCCAAAAAUGGGUUUUAAGCCCAAAGAUGUUCAUAUUAACCAACUUGGUUAUUUUUCUAGGAAUGAUUUGUAUGAAAUAAUAUAAUUUGUAAUUGUUUCAUACAACUUAACGUAGAUCUCGGUUUUAAGGUCUUUUUGACUAGAUCCAACACCACAACCACAUAAGAAUAUAUAUACAAGCAUAAAAAUCACACAAAGCAUACAUAUACUCAUAGAUCUACACAUUUGCUUGUAUUCCCCCCCCCCCCACAAAACUUAGAAAAACCGAAAAAUAGGGGGUAUGAAGCUCACCUUGAGGUUUGGUUCGAUUUUGAUGAAGAUAUAUGAGAAGAUGAUGUUGUUUUUGGCUUAGCUUUCUUCCUUCAAAAUAUCUUGAUGAUGUGGAUGGUUCUAAGAACAUAAUCCACAAAUAUAUGGAUGUAAGAGGAGAUCUUUGAAGAGAUCAAGAAAUUAUAUCAUAGAUCUAAGUGGGAACUUACCAAAGUUGAUGAUCUUGAAUAAGAAUUUCUUGAAGUAUCCUCUAAUUCUCGAAAAUUUAGAGGAAAGUGUAGGAGUGUUCUUGUGAGAUUUCCUUAAGAGAUUUCUAAGUAAAAUAAGUGUGUUGGUGAUUUUUGGGCCCUAUGGCCGAGAUUAAGAAGAGAUAGGNAUUUUUGGGCCCUAUGGCCGAGAUUAAGAAGGAGAGAGGGGAAAAGAGAAGAGAGGUUUGAAGUGAUAGAAGUCUUGAUGCAUGAGAUUAGUUUUUGCAUGGAGGGUAUUUAGCAUGGGAACCCUACAUGUAAAAAUGAUGUGUCGCCAUGCAAUUUACCCUAUUUUUUUUAACCUUGGGCCGAAAAUGGCUCUAAUGGGAUGAAGAAAAAUGGUUUUGGGCUCAAUGUCUUGGCUUUGAUCGAACUUCAUAGCCCCAAUAUUAUUUUUCGGCCCAUUGUGCUUAAGGACGAUUCACGACCCCUUUUGAAUAAAAGAAAUGGAGUUUAUGGCCCAACAAGGCCUAUUAGAGAUAAAAAUGAAUUAUUUUAGGCCCACAUGGCCCAAAACAAUCUAGUUUCAUGACUGUGGGUCCAAGUAGAGCCCAAACAGUCGAUUUGAAAGUUUAUUGGUCCAUUAGGCCCAAUAAGAGAAUCCUAAUCCAUAAUGAAUUUGAGCCGAAAUUUCUAGGGUUUCCAACCCUUAGUUGAACAUAUGAGAUGUAUGUGAAUGAGAAUAGAUUAUAGUAAGUAUAGCCUUUUUCAAUGGAUGAUGUUUACAUGGGAAUCGAAUUUCCUAGCAAAUGCUAGUUGUGACACCUCAAAUGGUUCACACAACACCAAAUACACUUGGAAUAGAUUAGAGAGAAAUCCACACUUCAUGAAAAUUGGCUAGCCCUUUCACAUAUAUUCUAGUGCCGAUUUUGUCAACAAUAAGAUGCUUAUAUAGUUAGUGACAAUUAGGGUAAACCCUAAUUGUCAUGGCUUUCCAUUUCCUUGGAUCUAUGGAUUCAAAUACACCAUGGAGAAUCCAUGGAGCAUCUUAUGGGUUUUAGCCCAACUUGACAAUCCAUAAAGCAUUAGCCCAUUAUACAAGUAUGGAUAAUUUAUACAAUCAACCGAAAUAUUUAAUUAGUCUUCUUUUGAUCACUUAAUUAAUCCUAGAUUAAUUCUUGAUCAAUACUAAUUAAAUAAUCUUAUUAAUAUAUUAAAACUUCUAAUAUAUUAACAAACCUUAAGUGUUAUUUCUCUCAUUUUAGUCUAUCCAAAUGCAUGAUGUCAUGCAACCCAAAUGGACCAUGCUGGGUCGGGUCAAGUCUUACCAAUUAUAGUUAUUGACUUAGACAUUAAUCCAACAAUCCAGUCUGGGGGCAGUUUUGAUGCAACGUGGUUGUGUGAUUGCUUACGCUUUGAGGCAGCUGAAGCCUCAUGAUGCGAAUUAUUCGACACAUGAUUUGGAGCUGGGAGUCGUGGUAUCACACUCAAGAUUUAGCGGCAUUACCUCUAUGGGGUUCAUUGUACCAUCUACACGGACCACAAUAGCUUGAGGUAUCUAAUGGAUCAGCCGAAUCUGAACAUGAGGCAACAUCGUUGGUUAGAUGCGGUGAAAGAUUAUGAUUGUGAGAUCCUUUAUCACCCAGGGAAGUCCAAUGUGGUGGUCGAUGCUCUUAGUCACAAGGCAAUCGCGGCUCCAAUAAGAGAUAUAUGUUUGAGGAUGACCGUGAUUACUCAAUUAUUGGAGCGGAUUCAUGAGGCUCAUGCAGGGUAUAUGAAGGAAGAGCAUCGAAAGAGUGAACGCAUUGUAGGUUAGGUGGCUUCCUUCGAUUAUGGUAGCCAUGGAUUGCUGACUCUGCAUCGGCGAGUAUGGGUACCUUAUUGGGGUGGUUUGUGUCAGGUUCUUAUGAAGGAGGCAGGCACACGAGUCGAGGUUCUCCAUUCAUCCCGGGGCGACAAAGAUGUAUAGGGAUCUUCGUCCUAACUAUUGGUGGCCCUGCAUGAAGCGGUAUGUGGAAUGGUAUGUUGAGCGAUGCCUGACUUGCAGGAAAGUCAAUGUUGAGCAUCAGCGUCCUCACGGCAAGAUGCAGCCGUUGGAGCAUAUGGAAAUGGAAGACAUAACUGUGGACUUUAUUAUGAAGCUUCCCAGGACUGCGCGCAUAGUGGAUUCUAUCUGGGUCAUCGUGGAUCAUUUGACUAAGAUGACAUAUUUCAUUAUGAUCCAGGAGAGUAUUUAUAUAGAGAAGUUGGCCGAGAUUUAUGUCCGGGAGGUAGUGGCACGUCAUAGGGUGCCGAUAUCAAUGGUUUCAGACAUGGAUGUUCAUUUUACUUCCAGAUUUUGGAAGCGGUUUCAUGACAAGAUAGACACUCGUCUCCUUUUUAGUAUAACAUUUCAUUCAUAGACCAAUGGUCAAAGUGAGCGGACUAUUUAGACUCUUGAGGAUAUGUUGCAUGCGUGCGUGUUGGAUUUUGGUGGGAGUUAGGAUACGCAUCUUCCAUUAGCGGAGUUUUCGUAUAACAACAGUUAUCACGCCAGCAUCGAUCGACCUUCUUUUGAGAUGCUCUACGGGAGGAAAUGCAGUACCCCGAUUUGUUGGGGCGAGGUCGGUCAGCGAGUUAUGGGGAGUACCGAGGUGGUGCUCAAGACCACUAAGUUGAUUAAGCAGGUUCGAAGCAGGCUCCAGACAGCUGGGAGUCGGCAGAAGAGUUAUGUCGACAGGCAUCGAUCAGACUUAGAGUUAUAGAUGGGAUAUAUGGUUCUCCUGAAGGUGUCACCUUGGAGAGGUGUUAUCCCGUUCAGGAAGCGGGGCAAGCUGGGCCCCAAGUAUAUUGGUCCCUUAAGAGUUUUAGCUCGAGUGGGCCGAGUUGCGUAUUGUUUAGAUCUUUCAGCCGAGCUCAGUUUGAUUCAUAACACAUUUCAUGUCACUCAGUUGCAUAAGUGUUUAGUGGAUGACUUUGCAGUUGUACCUUUGGAGAAUAUUCAGGUGGAUGACCGUCUGAAUUAUAUUGAGAGACCGGUGGCAAUUUUAGAUCGAAAGAUGAAAACCUUGAGGAACAAGAUUAUGGAGUUUGUAAAGGUGCAGUAGUUGUACCACAAAGGGUCAGAGUGGACUUGGGAACCCGAGGAGGAGAUGAGGGAACAUUAUCCAGAGUUGUUCGAGACGGCGGACUUCAAGGAUGAAGUCUGAUUCAAGUGGGGGAGAAUUGUAAUGCUUGAUAAUUUCCAAGGUAUUUAUUUAAUUUGGAUUUAUUUAAUUGUUAUGAGUUGGGCCUUGAAUCAUUGGAUUUUUCUUAUUGGGCUUAGGGUGUUAAGUACGCAGGGUGUACCACCCUAUGUAUGCAAGGCGUACUGAUGUAGAAUGAUCGCGGGUGCCAUGCAUGUACACGCUGCGUACAAAGGAGUACGCACAACGUAUGUAUCUAGUCCCUAAAACCAUACUAUUUAGGGUUUUAGCACUAUUUAAAGAACAUUAUAACUUAAGGAUCUUCUUUAUCAGCCUCCAACUUGCCCCUAAAUAGCCUCCACAAAACCCUAGCCCAAUUGUUGAGUGAUAUUGAGCUUGGAAGGUCUUUUGAGUGCGUUUUGGUGUGUUUUGUCCCAUUUUCAAGGAAGAUAAGGUUGGAGCAAGGUGGUGGUUCAAGGAGAAUUUUAUAGAUCUGGAUUAUCUGCCGCAUUUCAAGCUUGUGCAAGGUAUAAAUCUUGAUCUUGAUCUUUAGAAGCUUAGAUCUCCAUGUUUUAGCUUUUGGACCCUUUUUGGUCCCAUAAAUAAGCUCUUGUGGAUUGUUUUCGUUUCUGAAGCUUAGAGUUGCUAGUCUUGGUGUUCUUUGGGUCCUAGAGGCAUAAAGUUGCCACCUUUGAAGCUUUAAUCCAACCAUGUUUGAGUAAUUGCCAUUUUUGUGGAAGUAGAAUGUUAUAUUUCAAGUUUGGGCUCAUUUGGGGCAUGCAAAGCCACCAAUUUGAUGACUUUAUGGGUUAAGACGUUGCAAAUGACUCAGAUUUGUGAUUGUAACUCUUGGACUUAAGUGGUUAAGAGAUUUUUGGAGAAAUGGCUUAUUGGGUGAGUAUGUUGGGCGUAUAAUUGGGGUGGAAAAUCGGACCAUCGUGUCGUGUUUUUGUCCGACACGACAUGACACGACAAAAUUUUAUGUAACACAAACACGACACGACACGAUCUCGUAUUUUUUUUAACUAACACGAAAACGAACCGGUUAAAAAACGACAAACAUGACACGACACGACAAAGAUAACAUGAAAUAACAAUUAAUGUAUUUAAUUAAUGUGUAUUUAUACAUAACACGACAAACACAAAAAACACGACAAAAAAUGUUAAAUCGUGUCAAUUUCAUGUCAAAUUUUGAACACGAACACAACACGACACGACUUCGUGUUUUUUACACUUGACACGAACACGAAUUCGAAUUUCAAUUUCGUCUCAAUUUCGUUUCGUGUCGUGUAUUUUUGUCGUGUCGUGUCAUCAAUCGUCACCCCUAGCGUACAGGCUCGUACAUGCAGCAUACAAGCCAUGCAGCGUGUAUGCUUGGUGUACAGCCGAGUACGCCUCGCGUACUCAGGCAGUUGGGCUUGGCGUUGUUUGGGCAUCGAGUUUGGCCAUUUUCUUGGACCUUGUUGCUUUGGGCCUUUUGGGCCAUCUGGAAUUAAUAUUUUGGAUUAAGGAAUUUUAGUGGGCCUUAGGCCAAGGGCCAUUUGGGGGUUUGAGCCCAAUUUGGAAAAUUGGGCCAUAAGUGGGCCUUUGUGGAUCUUUUGGUUUUGGGCCUUAUUGGUUUAUGGUUUUAGGCCUUAGUUUUGGAUCAAGCUAGGCCAGGGGUAAUAUGGUCAUUUUACCCCAAGUAUGGAUUAUUGAUUAUAGUUUGGAACCUAAGUGUUGAUUAGGUGGUAUUUUGUACUAAUAGCUCGGGGAGUCGUCAUGGUAGCAACUGGGGAUUUAUUUCUGUGAGAUUCAACAUUUGAGGUGAGUUUCCUCAAUGGGUUUAGCGGGUCUAAGGCACCAAUGCUGACCCUUAUUAAUUAUGUUAGGAUGCUAAGAGUUUGUGUGACCCUUGCAUGCGUUAUGUGUUGUUGUAUGUAUACCGGGCGAGGCUCGAUGCUAAGCAUGACAUGAGGAUUGGAACAUAUGCUAGUGUUAUGAUCAUUAUAUGUGUUAGCAUGAUUAUGUAAUAUUGAUUGUAUGUGUAUAAAGGGCGAGACCCAGUGACAUGCGAGGCAUGAGAAUAACAUAUUUGUAUACCGAGCGGGGCCCGAUGCCGGGCGGGGGCCCAAUGCAUGAUUUAUUAUGUAUGGUAUGGGGUAGUUUGGGGAACUCACUAAGCUUUGUGCUUACAGUUUUCAAAUUAUGUUUAGGGUACUUCCAGUGGCAAUGAGAAGAACUCGGGGUGACUGCAUUGCACAUACCAUAUGGAUUCUGUUUAUUGGGCACGCUCUAAUUUUUCCUGAUAUCUGACAUACUUAUUUUAUUUGGGUUGUAUGAACUAUGAUUGGAAAUACUGUUUUCACUUGAAUGAAAAAUGAAAAUUUUAGGUCGUAUUUUUGGGUUGUUACAUUGUUUGUUUUUUUGUCGGUCUUGAAUAUCAACGACUCUAUGUAAGUAAUCUGUUGUCCCUGGUUGAAGUUGAAUGUGUCCAGGUUCCGUAGGCGAAUAGUCUACAAUGUUUCGUCAUUUAUUUUCAAUCACCAUGUUAUGCAGAAUGAUACAUGCAUACAUAAUAUCUCGUAGAGUGUCCAACUCGUAUGGUCGUUCCGCAUGUUCAACUAUGUGACAUUUUGCUUUCAGAACUCUGAAAGUACGUUCCACGUCCUUACGUGCUCCUUAUUGUCUUCUCUUGAAAAAUUUGUUUAUCGGUUAUAUCUGGUGUCGAAACGCCAUCACAAACGUGGAAUAUGGUGGGUAUAUUCCAUCCGUGAGGUAAUACCCGAACUUAUACUCAUCGUCAUUUACUGUGAAAGGAGCAUCUGGUGCCUUUCCUGUCAAAAGGUCCUGAAAUAUUGGUGACUAAUGAAGAACGUUUACGUCGUUGUUAGAACCCGCAACUCCAAAAAAAGCAUGCCAAAUCCAUAAGUCUUGUGACGCAACAACCUCUAAUACUAACGAAGACGAUCCAAGAUGAUCACUUGUGUAUUGACCUUUCUAUGCCACAUGACAAUUUCUCCAUAUCGACUUUGUGCAAUCAAUGCUUCCAAGCAUUCCCGAAAAACUAUGUCGUUCUUCUUGCGCCGCAUAUAGUUAUUGCAUGUCAUUCAAUGAACGUUUGCGCAAGUAUUUGUCACUGAAGGUUUUGAUAACACCUCUCGCCAAUCUAUACAAACUUUCUCAUGCAGUUCACUCUGACAAUCUAUAAUAAUAUAAACAUAUAUUUAAUUUUUAAAACAACUGUAAUUACGGUACUUGCUUUCCAUUGCAUUGACUAUUCGUUGAAACACAUUUUUCCGCAAACGAAACCUUCUUUUAAAAUCGCUAGGUUGGUAGACACAAUUAUCCGCAAAAUAAUCGUGUACUAGACGUCUAUUCCCUUUGAUGCGUGCAAAUUAUACCUACCUAGCUACACCUAAUUUUAUAUUUAUAACCUAACUAACUUAACUAACUAAAUUGCACCUAGGCACUGUACUUAGUCAAAUUAUAGAAUAGUCGGGUAAGUCGGGUGUCGAUCAUAGGGAAGGGUUUUAACUAAUUAAUCUACCUACUAUUAAAUUAACCUAAUUUCUAAUAAAGUGGGGGGGUUUUUUUUAUCUAAUUUUGCAAGUUUAGAUGAACUUAAUUCGUAACACAAAAUUCAAUCAAUUAACAAACACUUAUGUUAGUUCAAAUCCACUUCCCCUCAAUGGUUUAUAAAUUAGUUAUGACAAUUACUGUUGGUUACCAAUUAAGAUAGUAUUAGCAAUUCAGUUCUAAAUUUACUAACAUUGAUUAAUUAAUGUAAAUCUAUGCAUUGUCACACAAUAGUUAACUUAAAAUCAAUUAUUAAAUGAAAUUGGAGCCAUGUAAGAUUGAUUUGAAAAACACACUUAUGGUCAUAAUAUGAGUUCUCUAGCACAUCCUAAUUCAAUAGUUCAAUUAUUUUUCUAAGAUUUGUUUGAUCUUAGCUCUAAUAAACUAGUGUUCACUGAAUUAUUAAGUAUUCAAAUUCAUGCAUAUUCAUAUUCACUAACUACACAUAAUAAGAAUUUAAAGCAAUCAAAUAUUAAAUCAAACAUGCUAGGUUCAAUCAAUCAAACACAAGUCAUAACCAAAAAGUAAAUCAAAACUAAAGUAUUGAAACCAUGAGUUCCAGCUUCAUCUAGCUAACAGAAGCAGCUAGAUUUAGCUGGACAUACUAGCAAACAAACAUAAACAAAUCAUAUUCAAAGACAUAUUUAAAUGUACCAAACUAUUAAGCUAAUAAUGAACUUCUCCUUCUUCCUUGGUGUUGAAAGCCAAUUCCAAACGUUUUCUCCCUCUGGAUUUUGUCUCCAGGAACCCUCCAAGUUGUCCAAAAGUCCCUCAAAGUCGUAAUGAUCAAGAGAAUAUAUAGUUAUCAUAAAAUUCACUCUCACGUCGUGAAUGAGUAUGACUCACGACGUGAAUGCAGUAGAUAUCUGUGUUCUACAAGGAUUCCUCCUCCGCGAUGCUUAUCUUCUGGAAUAGUUCCAUUCACGUCGUGAAUAGUUAUGACUCACGACGUGAAGUUAGCAGAUUACAGGGAUUUCCUCUUCUUUCAUUCUCCAAGCCUCCAAAGUUCCAUGCUUUGUCAAUUUCAGUCAUUUUCUCCCAAAAUACUUCAAUUUGGCUGCAAAGUACAAUUAAAGCUUAUAAGCAUCAUUAUUUAAUGCAAAUAACCAAAAUAUUAAUAAAAAUGUAAGUAAAUAUUGCCCAAAAACAUGUAUAAAUAUGGCAGUAUCACCCUUCUUCACGAUCUCUGUUCAACGCCGCACGUCUGGUCAGUAGUGGAGCUGGCUUUGGCGGUAACAUGUAUGUAACAUAUCGAUACAUCAUACCCACGAACAUAUCAUUCUCGUCGAUAUCAUGAUUAUAUGGAUGAAACGGGUCAAAAGGUUCCAUUUUUUUUUUGUAAAUAGAAAUAUAGAAAAUAUAUUAAACUUGAUAGAAAUGUGUAUUAGAGAGAAUUAGAUAAAUUUUCUAUGUAAAGAUAAGUUAGAAUGUGUGUGUGUGUGUAUAUAUAUAUAUAUAUAUUAAAGUAAUUUUUUUUAUUAUUCGUGACCGUUCCACAUCGGUCAGAAAGUAGACCGUUUAUCCCGUUUCGUCCCGUUAUCACCCACACACCGAAUAUCGUAACGCCAAAAAAACGUGUACCUGGAGGCGGUGUUUGCACCGUUAUACCAACAUUUUUUGAUGUACACGUCGGAUUAACGGGCACUUCGGUUGCCCAUUCCGAGUAGUCUAAAUGUCAAAAUGCAAUGAAGAAAAAGAUUCAUUACAAAUGUCAAUUAUAAGUAUGUAGAAGGAUAAAAUAUAAAAAAGUUAUUAUCUUUUGGGAUAUACACAGUAAAGUCCCAAUAUUUUCAUCGAUUUGACAAGAAAAUCCUGAACUUUAUUUUUUUGACAGUAAAGUCCAAAUUACCGGCAGUUUUUGACACUUUUACAUUUUUUUCCCGAUUAGCCGGUAAUUAGGACUUUUUUGUCAACAAAAUAAAGUUUAGGACUUUCUUGUCAAAUCGUCAAUUAGGACUUUACUGUUAAAAAAAAAAAUAAAGUUUAGGACUUUUUUUGUCAAAUCGUUGAAAAAAUUGAGACUUUAGUGUAUAUAUAAUUUUUUUGGUUAGAAACUUAAUGAUAUGAUACUCUUUACGCAUAAGAGUUAUUGAAACAUUCUCUAAUCAGCUAGAUCAUAUUGAAAUCCUUUACGUUUGCUUCUUGUUAAAUCGUUAUUUUAAUCUCAACAAACUGACAUUGAAAAAAAUUGAGAUAAUCAAGAAAGAAAGAAAGAACCAGGGUUGUGUUGGCUUUUUGCAGUCUCAAAAAUGGAGAAAUUAGAAACCUACAAAAACGAAAAUGCCCUGACUUUUUACAAAUACAAACAACACGUGCCUAGUCAAAAUGGUGUGAAUGUGGAGAAGGGAAAGAAGGACAAUUUCGUUUUUUUCGGUUUCUUAUUUCUCCAUUUUUGGGGUUGCAAAAAGCCAACACAACCCUGGUUCUUUCUUUCUUUCUUGAUUAUCUCAAUUUUUUUCAAUGUCAGUUUGUUGAGAUUAAAAAAACGAUUUAACAAGAAGCAAACAUUAAUGAUUUCAAUAGAAUCUAGCAUAUUAGAGAAUGUUUCAAUAACUCUUAUGCUUAAAGAGUAUCAUACCAUUAAAUUUCUAACCAAAAAAAUUAUAUAUACACUAAAGUCCCAAUAUUUUCAACGAUUUGACAAAAAAAGUCAUAAACUUUAUUUUUUUUGACAGUAAAAUCCUAAUUGACGAUUUGACAAGAAAGUCCUAAACAUUAUUUUUUUUGACAAAAAAGUCAUAAUUACCGGUUAACCAGAAAAAAAUGGUAAAAAUGUCAAAAACUGUUGGUAAUUUGGACUUUACUGUCAAAAAAAUAAAAUUUAAAACUUUUUAUCAAAUCGAUGAAAAUAUUAGGACUUUAUGGUAUAUAUCCCUUAUAACUAAAUAGCAACUAUAAUGUGUGGAGUUUGGUAAAUUCCGCUUGGGUUUGGUCUCUACAACCCAUUCAACCCCAAGGCUAUUCUAGUAAUUUCCCCACUAGAAGGAGCUAGGUUCCGCUGCCUUUUAAGUCUAGGUUUUCACUAUCAUCACUCUCACUCAUCGUUUUGUGGUUUCCUGUGGAGAAGAGCAGCAGAUACUCAACAACUUGCAGGCUCUAUUUUCUCAUCGCCAUCAGGUAUCUGUAGGUGUCCUAAAAUCUACGGUUAGGGUUUUGUUAGCACAGUAAUUCAUGGAAAAUGUUGAAAUCUCACUUGUUACCGUCGAUUCAAUCUUUAUUUUUUAGGAAAAAACAUCGGUUCACCAUAUCGUUAUAAUUGUUAUGAUGAUUUUGGUAUCAUCGAUGAAGUUUUAUGUGUUAUGUUUUCGUUGUAAGCUGGAUGUUUCAGGAUGUUUGAUGAUGUGUGCGAGAAUUUCAUUUUAGGGUUUAUGGUGUAUGUUUGCUUUCUUAAAUAGCGUCUACAUGUUAGCUAAUAUAAAUAGUUACCUUGAUGUUUAUAUAUUGGUUGCCACUCGGCUUCUUCAUCUUUGAAAACAAUGCGAUUAGACCCCCCUUAGGUUUGGAUCUAUGCUUAGAUGUGGAUUGUGUAAUUUUUCUCGUGAAAACUAUUGGAUAAACUUGCUUCGUUUUUUGCACCAUGGAAAGCUUAUUUAUGAUUUAAGCCUGGUUCCAACUUUGUUUGUGGGGUUAAUUUGCUACUUUUAAUGUCUAUAUGUAAAGUAUCAGUUGCUCUCUUUUAGGGUUUAUGUUUAGGUGUCUUAUUACCUCGACAACAAGCAAUGGUGAUGGGAUUAGAUCAUAUGUGAAGUUCUUUUGGGGUGCAUGGAUUAUUGCAUGUGAUGCCCUAUAAUAGUUUUAAUAUAUCAAUGGCUGUAAAUUAUCUGUCCAUAUUAUGCUAUGGUUAUCUGUCUAUUAAACUGUUUUCUUUUUGAACAUGUAAUGUGCAGAAAGAGUGCUUUGAGGAAUGCUGGAUUGAUUGGUCCCAAAUACAAAGAAGAUGAGCAAGAAGAACCCAUUUGUAUACUUGGAUGUGUCUAUAGAUGGAGAUCCUGUUGAAAGGAUGGUUUUUGAGGUCUUUAUUAUAGCUUUAACCUUCUAAGAUCUUUCUUUUAUUCUUUUUUCUGCCAGAUGGCAUUGCCACAUCACUUAUUAUCAAGCUGAAAAACUAAUUCCUUUUAUAUGGUGUUACAGCUAUUCUCAGACACUGUUCCCAAGACUGCUGAGAACUUCCGGGCACUUUGUACUGGUAAAAUGUUCAUCAUAAUUGGUAUUCUUUUUGUCAUAAGUUUAUAAAACUGGAUGCUUUUUUAAAUUUCAGGAGAAAAAGGGAAUAGUCAGAAAACCGGGAAACCCCUACACUACAAAGGAUCCUUCUUUCAUCGCAUAAUCAAAGGAUCCAUGGCUCAGGUAUGUUUUCUAUCAAUUACUUUCAUAAAUUAUAUUGUUUUUUUUUUUUUGUUUUGUUAUUUUAUUUUCCACUUAGUUUCUUCUAGUUCUGGAUGUCUUGGUGGUGGUCUGUCUUUUUAGUCGGCUAUCCUUGUUUAAUCUGUAGGAUACAGGGUUGAUGGUUCCAACUGCUUUUCUUGUGAUGUAGUUUUUAAGGUUGUAAUUAUUUGGUUGUAUUUGUAAUAUCAUCACAUUCAUUCUGAAACAUAUCAUACAAAAUUUACAAAUCCAUCUUUCUGCAAUGAUUUCUGAAUAUAAUUUCUAUAAGUGAAUUAAUUCUUUGUAUUUUUUUUUUGCAGGGUGGGGAUUUUUAUAAACGUGAUGGUAUGUACAUUUUGCCACCAAUUUUUUUUAAUUUUUGUAUACAAAAUCCAUAUCUCAUUGGUUUACUUUUGCAGGAAGUUAUGGAGAAAGCAUAUAUGGAGGGAAGUUUCCAGGUGAGAAAAGUCACUAUGUUCAUUACUUGUGUUUUCUGUUUGAAUGUUGAUGAUCAUAAAUACAUAAUAUGUCUUUAGGUAGUUGAGGAUUUCAUUUAAUUUGUUUAAAAAGUGUAUGCAAAAGAAAUUGAAAUAAACCUUUUAGCUUCUAUCUCCCCAAAAUUUCUAUAUAUGUUUAUAUUUUGAGAGAAUGGGUUUCCUUUUUGAAUUGCCUGUGAAGGUGGGGGCUGACAUUGGUCUUAUUCUCGGUGCAUGGGAGCUCAACCCACAAUGAAAUGGGCAAAUUGUAAUUGUCUUGAAAAAUGGUGGGUGUAUGAAUAUUUUGUGUGCCUUUCUUUCUAGGUUUGAAAUCUUUGGUAAAAUACAAAGUAUUUGGUUUGGAUGAUUUAUGCAGCUAGUUAAGUCUAAUGUAUAAUGUAUGCUUUAUAUUUAUGCCCAAUACAUUGUCAUGAGUUUUUUUAUCUGGCUUUUUUUCCAUGUUAAGUUCCUGGCUACCUUAUUAUUAUUAUUUUGAAUUGGUUAUAAUCAAAAUUUGUUACAUUUCAGAUGAAUCCUCCAAACUGAAACAUGAUGCUCCUGGCCUUCUAACAAUGGCAAUUGCUGAUCGUGAUUCACGUGGCUCUUUAUUUAAUGUGACAUUUGGCGCUAAUCGCCACCUGGAUAGGUUUGCUCAUCUUUGUUGUUACAAUUUUAUGUUGGACAAAUUGAUAGAAAUAGCUACAUACCUUACUUUUGUUAUGGUUACAUAUUGCUAUUAUUGAUAAAAAAAAAGUGUUAAGUAUGUUGCUAUUACGGGUAAAAAAAUAAAUACACUGCAUGUAUUGGUAUUUCCUACAUGUUAUCUUUUUAUAUUUAUCUGAAAAGUUAGAGUUUUAGCAACAUUAACUGUCUAACUUUUGAUGGAAAAGGAAAUUUAAGUGUUGGAAAUGGAAUUUCUUGAACAGGAAGUAUGUUAUUUUUGGAAAGCUUGUUCAAGGACUUGAUGUAUUGAAGAAGAUAGAAAAUGUGGGUGAUGAAGAUGGAAUGCCAACUGUGACAGUGAAGAUCAUUUAUUGUGGGGAAGUAAACGAGAGUGAGAAUCAAAGCUCUGGUAUGGUGGAUAAUUAUUGCAUUUUUAAUGACAUAAUUGUUUGUUUAUUUUUUUAAAAUAAAGUCUCUGUUUUUGAUGUUUUUAUAGAUAAGAAGGCAGCCAGCAAGUUGAAAAGUGGGAAAGAUGUUUCUUCAGAGGUUCACAGCCAUGAAGUGAAGCGGAAGGGAAAGCACAAGAAAUCUUCAAAAGAUAAAAGGAAGAAAAGAAAAAGAUAUUCUUCAUCUGAUUCAGACAGUUCAUCUGACAUGGAAUCUGACUCAUCUGAUUCGGAUAGUGAUUCCGACUCUGAUGAUUCAUCCUCGUCAUCAUCUGAUGUCAGCUCUUCAAGUGAUGACAGGCGUAAGAGAAAAAAGAGAUCCAGAAAGGAUCGACACAAACGUGGAAAAAGAAAGGACAAAAAACGCGAGAAGAAGCGUAGGAGACGCGAUAAGAAAUCCAAACGUAAAUCAAAGAGGUUGGUAUGGUAUUUUAAUUUUAGUUAAACCUUAAAUAAAGUAAUGUUUUAUUCUUUAUAAAAGUUAUUAUAUAUCAUUUUGUAGGGUGUCUGGUAGCGGAAGUGAGAGUUCAAGUGAAAGCGAACAUGCGUCUGAGGACAAUAAUGGUGAUGUCAAAAAGCGAAACCGGAAACAUAAUAAUAGUAAUAAUAAAUCUCCUACAGCUGAAUUUGAAGAUGGUAAAACAGGAGAUGCAUUUGCAUUUGAUGGACAUGUAAAGGAGGAAGAAGGUGAAUACCCGAAAGAAAAUGGUGGGGACCGCCCAAGCAAUGGUGUUGACCUGGCGAAGGCUGAUAUAGUCGAUGACCAUCUCGGAAACUCUAGGUUCAAUCAAAUUUAAUAAAACUUUAUUAUUAUUAUUAUUAUUAAAUUCUUUCUAAUCUUAUUUUUUUUUUACUAAACAGAAGUAGAAGCAAAAGUCCUCCUCGAAGGGAAUUGAGCAAGAGUAUGAGUAUUAGCCCAAGGAGGAGUCAAAGUGUUAGUGGGACCCCUCCUAGACGGGCCCCAUCACGUAGCCCGGUCAGAAGCGAAAGCAGCAGCAAGAGUCCGGUUAGAAGCAUAAGCAGAAGUCCAGUGAGGGGCAAAAACGUCAGAAGCAUAACUCCCUCACCAUCACCUCCACGAAGGAGUGUUUCUAGAAGCCCACUGCGAACAUCGUCUAGAAAAUCCUCACGAAAAUCAGUAAGCAGAAGUCCGGUUAGAUCUUCCAGAAGAAGCUACAGCAGAAGCCCAGUCAGAUCAUCUAAAAGAAGCUUGAGCAGAAGCUCUGGUAGACCGCCUUUAAGAAGAAGCCCUAGCAGGAGUCCGGUCAGACCGCCUAUGAGGGGUGGUCGCCGGAGCUAUUCCAGGAGUCCGGUAGGUGGGCGUAGGGCGGCUAGGUCACCGGAGAGAAGCUUGUCUAGAAGCGCUUCACCUGAUGGCUCUCCCAAACGUAUCAGAAGAGGACGCGGUUUCAGUAACCGAUUUUCUUACGCACGCCGAUACCAUUCUCCCGAUCGCUCCCCGGUCAGAUCUUAUCGCUAUAGAAGUGACCGCGACCGUGACCGUGACCGGUAACAAACUAACAGCUAGCAAUUUUAAAUUAAGUUUUUUAAUAUAUUUAAUAUAAAAACAAUUAAACCAAUAUUUUGGUUUGUAGUUAUUCAAGCUAUAGAAGGCGCAGCCCACUGAGAGACAGAAGUCCACCAAGGUAUUUUGGAGUAAUAAUGGAAUCUUUUUUUUUGGUGAGAAAGUGAUUAUUUGAUUGUUAAAUUCAAUUAUUUACACAGGUACAGAGGGAGAAGAAGCAGGACACGGAGUCCGAGUGUGUCCCGGAGUCCUGUCCCUGUGCGGUACCGCCGGCGCUACAGUCGGAGCCGGUCGCCGGUGGAGACAUCAAGGUACAGGCCAUCACCGCCAGUGGAGAGGAGGAGGGCGCCACGCAGCAGGACCCCGCAUUCUCAAAGUAGGAGCCCGUAUGAACGUAGGUCCUCUCCAUCACCAUCUCCGAGAAGGAGCGUGAAGUCAAAGUCAAAGUCAAAAUCGCCAUCGAGAUCAAGGUCAAUGUCGAGGUCAAGAUCUAGGUCGUCUUCUGGAAGCCCACCUGGGAAGAAAGGACUGGUGUCGUAUGGAGAUGGUUCUCCAGACAGUCAGAAGUGAGAAGAGAAGAGAAAGAUCUUACUUUUGAGGGUGAAAUGAUUUAUAGACUUGGUAAUUGGUACACUAUGUAGGGUGGGUGUGUUUUGAAUAAUUUGACUAUUUCUCUUGUAUUUCUUUCUUCUUCUGUGGAGUGACUGUUGAGGUGCUGCUAGACUAGUAACGAUGAUUGGAUAUGUGUUUGUUUUUAAGAGGUUGGUUAGACUGAGGGGAAUGGGACCGAGUAUCAAUUAUGUUAUGUUUUAAAAAGCCUCUUCUGUUUUUAUCUUUAUUGUUAUGGUUUGCUCUUUGAUCAGUGCGACUUGAAGGUAGUUUGUGCAUUUAUAUAUGUAUUAACAUAAUCUUGUGUGCUUGAAUUGAUACAUUAUAUUAUAAUCUUUUCAAAGAAUAAGCUAACAAGUUAAAAGGAGGGUCAUCAAGAUGUAUUGAAUUAUUAAGUAGAUUGAGAGAAGAUUAUUUACCAUCUCUUUAAGACCGGUAAUAAUUGCGACAUAUGUAUUGUAUUUAGUUAUUUAUUAUUUAUUAACCGAUAAAAUUGGAAUAAGUUACCUAAAAUUUAGGGGAAAAUAUGAUUAAUUACGUAAGUUCAGGGGGUAUUUUGGUUUACGGCAACAGCAGGCGACGUGUAGAAGAAGAAUCUCGGGAACCCUAGCAGAGGUUUGUUUCUCAAUCCUACGCCGCUACGACCAUUGCCGCUUUCUCCACUCCACGAUGAUAACAAAGAAACAUCCGUCGCCGUUUCUCAAUCCAACGGUAAUAUGAUUUACUUGUUCGUUAUUAUUUGAAUCUAUUAAACACAAGAUAUAAGCCGAAGCAUUUUGAUUGAAAUAAGACAGUAACCAAUAAAUACUAAAAGCCAAUCUCUUUUCUGUAGCUUGGUAACAUUUGUAUUACUAAUAAAUGAUGAAUGUAUUAUUGAUUGUACUUGGGUUUUUGAUUGACAGGGUAACAUUAAUGAUAUUGAUCGUAAUGUUCUAUGCAAUGUGUUACACAUCAAACAAUGCUCCAAAGCCUCCCAAUAUAUGGUGAAGUUUACAAAGCAAAGGCAUUGGAAUCAUCAAACAAGUAUGUCUCUACCUUUUAUAAGCUUCUUCAUUUUCAGUAACAUUAUAGGAAUUAGACACUCUUUCUUUGUCACCACUGCAUUUGUGAUGGCAUUGGCAGCUGGUAAGCUUUGGGACACCAUUUCUGAAUGCAUCUCCCAAAUUCAAUCUGAUUGUGAUGAUGAAGCUAAAGAGAGGGCACUUCAAACCCUAGUUUCCAUCACAAAAGCAAGCCCUCCACACAGAAAUUUAGUCAUGCAGAAUCAGGAAGCCAUCCCCGCUCUCCUCUCCCUGCUCAAAUCCUCCUCCCGUGCUCUUGAAAGACUCUCACUUUCCAUCCUCUUCAACCUCUCAUUAAACCCUAAUCUCAAAUCCACCCUUGCUGACAUGGCAACCAUUCAACACCUCAAUACUGUGAUCCUGUCUCGUGGGUCACUCGAGUCUAGCAAACUAGCAGCUUCUUUGAUAUGCAGCCUGGCAAUGCUAGACAAGAAUAAAGCAGUGUUUGGGGUAGCGAAUACUAUUCAAGCAUUGUUGAAGGGAGUUUCAAGGCCUAAUAGUCCUGUGACACAUCACCUUCUCAGCUCACUUGCUGAGUUGGUGCACUUCCAUGGGAAUUGCACAUUGGCUGUUAGAUCAGGUGCAGUUGGUGUUCUCCUGAGAAUAGUUGAGAACAAAGACAGUGAAGAUCUUUGUGGGACUGCUCUUAGUAUUCUUGGGCUUCUUGCUAAGUUUGAUGAAGGGCUAAAAGCUUUGACAAAUACACCUAGUAUUGUGAGUAGAAUGCUUGAUGUGUUGAAAGGUAGGUCCAUGUUGAAUAAUGAAGGUGCAGCCGAGGUACUUCUUCGUGUUUUUGAUGAGAGUGAAGAAUGCUUGAGAGAUGCUAUCGGAUUGCCUGAUUUCAUGUAUACAUUAGCUGAGCUCUCGGUGAGAGGAUCAACGAGAGCUCGGGAGAAAGCUUCUCUACUGUUGAGAAAACUUGAGGCUAAUGAAUCAUAUGUAGAUGAUGAUCUGGUGUUCUUGAAAUGGUAAGGUAGGAUGCGUGUCUUAAGAAAAGUAACAUAAUAAGAGCUUUUGUUUGUUUUGUAGCACAUGAGUGUGCACAUUAUUAGGUCCUCUUUGAAGGUUUAGGUAAUGAAUAGAUGGGUUUGGUGUUAAAAAAGGCAUGGAGUUUAUAGGAUUGAAGCCAUGACUCACAAAACUACGAACUACAUAAAAAAUGAAUUUGAGAGUUACAUAAAGCCAUAAAGUUAAAUUUAUAAAGAAAGCAUAACUAUCUUGCAUCCAAAUACAACAACAACAACAAAUAAACCCAAAUCCCAUAAAGUCUUGUGAGGUAAGUGGGAGGUUUGAUGUAGGUGGUCUUAGUGUCUUGCCUCCACCCGUGGGUAGAGAGGCUACCUCUAUAGGAGACUUUCGCCAUGAUCAAGGAUGCACCAUACAUGAGCAAAUAAAAGCAAUAUACAAUUAAAUAUACUAAUACUAGAAAUAGUACUAAUUGUAAAAAUGAAAUAACAUAAGACGAUAAAUACUUAAAUGCCUAAAUGAUAAUACAAGAAACAAAACUUAUGCUACUACACUAACCUAAUUCUCCGUCUCCACUCCUACCUAUGUGAGGUCUGUAGAAGGUGCCAACUCCUUCGUGUCUAACCUCACACUAUAGUUACGUUGCGUCCUCGGUCGACCUCUCCUCUUCGCCUUACCGUAGAUGUGACGCCUCGAUCCAUUGAGUACCGUCAUCUAUCCUUAGUACACUUUAUUUUAAAUACAACUAAGAUAAUACCUUAGAUUUCAUCUUCAUCAUGGUUUAACAAAAUUACAUAAGCAAAAGUGCAUAAAAGAAAAACUAUUUUAACCGUUUAUAAUUCAUCCAAAAUUUCUGUUAAAACACUAACUACUUGUGGUCCUUCUUCUUUCCUGAGAUACAUACAUGAAUACAUAAGCUUUAAGUUUAGUGAGUAUUUUGGUUUUAAUAUUUAGCAUAAACAUUUGAUGGAAAAAUAACAAUUAAAUGCUUGAAAACAUUAAUUUGAGAUCUUAUAGCUACAUGUAAGUAGGCCCAACUUCUGGGAGGUUUGCUAACCUUGGGAUUCAUAUAAGGCUGUCCCAUAAGGUCCGUUUUUAAGACGUCCCUUCAUCCCAUACCCAAUGCGUUGGGUUACUUGGGUAUUUAAAUGACCGUACUUAACAUGAAUAAAACUUUCAUGCUAACUUCAUAAUAUGUUGUUAAAUGUCUUUGAAAAAUCAUUUGAGCAAGUGAACAUGGCAAAUAAUUUAAAUGCAUUGAACAUAUACGUAGCAUGUAUGUAUCCCAUUAAAUCACAUAAAUAUACUCACCUUUCUUUGAGCUUUUAGGCUUCUUUUUAAUCUUUUAAGUCACCACCAAGCUUGAUAGUGUAUUCUAGGAUGAAAAAAAAUGCUUAACUUCACUUGCUAUGUCUAGUAAAAUUGUGUGCAUUGCUUGCUUGUUCUUUAGGCCUAAAACAUAGUACAUUGUUGAUGAGAUGAUUACACCUAGUGUACUUGUUGUACCUCAUCUCCUUAGAAGCUUACACCUCAAGCCUCUAGCUCUUCUAUGUCAUCUUCCAGCUUAGCUUAAUCUCCUUAGAAGCUUACACCUCAAGCCUCUAGCUCUUCCAUGCCAUCUUCUAGCUUAGCUUAAUCACUCAAAAUCUAGGCAACGCUUAUCUCUACUUGUAUAUGCUAGCUUGGUUACUACUUUUAGCCUUGAUUUGUCAUGCUAAGCUUUGGUUUACUUGUAGCUGGUGUUGUGGUACUUGUAAGCAUAUGGUAAGCUACUUGUGUGCUUGCUUAUUUUCAACUUUUCUUUUUACAUAAAAUUUGCAACAUUCUUCUAUAACAACUAUUCUUAAAGUGUCCCUUAUGUUCUUUUAUAUUACAAGGGUGUUAUGGUAGAUGAUUGCCUCCUCUUGACAUAUCUAAACCACUAAAAUCUUUCUUUCCUCGAAUUUUCGGUGGUUCACGCAACUCCUAACUUAUUUAUGAUUAUAGCAUUCAGUAUUUUCUCCAACAUUGUUGUAAAGCAUAAACACUGAAGGAUCCUCAUUUCAGAAAUUUCCAUCUUCCUCUCAUGCUCUUUUUUUUCCGGCUAACAUUUGAAGCAACUACCACCUUGUAUCUUGCAUCCAAAUGAUGCCAAUGGUUGUUUUAAAACAAUUUUGGCUAAGGGUGUAGACUAGACAAAGCAAAGUAGAAGGAGAAACGAGGUUUAUUGGGUAGGGUUUAACAUGGACUAGGCUUAUAUAGACCACACUUUUAUCAUGUUAGAUAGUAGAUAGUUUUUUAUAAUGAUUUCUUAUGCAUCUUUAGCGUGGUCGUACAAUUAUGAAUAUUUAUAAUAGUUGGAUAAAUUUAUAAAAUAUGAAAGUGUUGUGGCAAAAUCUAGAGAUUUGAAACAUGUGAACCUACAUGUUUUAGACAUGACACUUUAGUGUCUUGUUUAGGGACCUAUUCCGUGUAAAUGCAUGUAAUUAUCACAUGAAGCUUGCAAAUUGAACUUAUUUUACUAAAUAUUAGGUGUAGACUACCAGGAAAGAAAUUUAAAGCCCAAAUUUGCUUGCCUUUUCUUUCAUUUCCUUUAUCGUGAGUUCGUGACCUUUCCCCUUUAUUGUGCCCUCGACAAUCGACAUAGGACAUCGCCGAGUGGUGCGUUUGCUAUCGUAUCUUUCGAUUGCACCUCAACUACACCUAAAACAACAAGAAUUUGUUUAUCGCAUUGAUAUUAAGGUAUCUUUUUCGAAUACUUAACCUUUAGAUCUAGUUUGAUCCCAAAUCGAUUAUUCCAAAAUUUUACUUGUAAUGCUUUAGUUAGGUAAAUUAUUUUGCAACCGGAAAGAAUUGGCUAGGGUUGUUUGGAAUAAAUGUUUGUGUGCUUCCGAUUACGCUAUCAAUAUUUCUUUACAUUUUUGUUAAUAGGAUUAAUGUCAAUGAACUUAACUUGUAUAUGGAAUGUCAUAAUUAUGAUUUCCAUUCCAUGAUAAACAAUGUUAGGGCCUUAUUAAUGAGAUAAUUCUUUAAUUAAGGUAGUUAUUUAAUUACUUAGAAGCAGUGAUGAUAGUUUGUUAAGCUUUGGUGUCAUGGAUGGUGUCACUUAGAUCAUGAGAGAGAUAGAGAGAAGGGAAGGGGGGGGGGGGGAUCUUAUGGGCCAUCAUUUGUACCCAUCUAGUAGAAUGACGAGAGAGUCGAGUUCCAUAGGUCUUGGAUAUUUCUUCCAUUUCAUAGUGGAUGAUAGUGGGUAUCUUACUAUGAUUUCCUUCUUUGUAUCUCCAAAUUAGCAAAGGGUUUAAAGGCAUUUAGCUACAACUCAUUGCCUUAUUGUGGUUGUAAAUAAUAUGUCCAUCUUUUUGCACAUGUUAUGCUUUUUUCGUAAUCUAGUGGGAAAUUGUGUUAGAUCUUUUGAUAUCCUCGUUUAUAUAGAGGGACACGUUUGAGAACAUGAACCAUAAAUUUUGGAUAUAAUGAUAUUAACUAUGUUGAGACAUCUUUUUGGUUUUAAGAUGAAUUUUGGUUUUACUCCCACCAUUAUCCCAUUUUCUUUGGUUUUUCCUCUCAUUUUUGGACCAUUGACUCUAGUCGUAGUCAAAUCUCAUCUUUACCAUUUUAUAUGGACCUUGUUGCUCAAACCUCAUCUUUAAUAUCGCUAUGCGGCGGUGUUUGGGAUUGCUUUUCAAAACAACCUAUUGACUUAUUGGCUUUUUGAAAAGCCAAUAAGUCAAAAAUAAUGUUUGGCAAACUCAAAAGCAUUUUUCAAAAUAACUUUUCCAUUAGCUUCAAAAAGGAGAUUUCAAAAAGCAGGUAAAACUUGGCUUUUUGAAACUCCUUUUAGCUUUUUAAUCAUAAUAGCUUCAAAAAAGAGAUUUUAAGCCUAACAUUUUUUUUAAACUUAUUGCCUUAUUGGAUUUUGCCAUCUCAAAAGCUAAUCCAAACACUUUUUUAAGUCAAUAAGCACUUUUUCCCAACAACACUUUUGGAAUUCAAAAAGCAGUCCCAAACACCCCCUUGUUCCAACCAUGUGUUGUCAAUGCACCAAGAUCUUCAGUUUUGAUCUGAGCCUUGGCCUACAUUAGUGCUGGCUUUGACUAUUAAGUUCUACCUGAGUUGGGUGUCACUAGCAUUUUCUCAAGAGAUUACUUGAUCUUUCAUUAUUCUACCUUGGUGUCUUUUAGCAGAGCAUCAGAGUUUUCUCUAUUGAGUCAAGAAAUUCUAAACCUUUUAUAUUGCUGGUCGCCUAUAGAUGUUUUUUCCAAUCCAUGACUUGUAAACUACGGCGUUCUCUGUUCUUAUAGAUUUGGUCCUUGAAUUUUAUGCAAGAAAUAUUUUAUAAUGCUUAUUUAAAAAAGAAAAAACUAAUGUAAUGCAAUGUUUAGAAGAGGAAGAAUGAGCAUGGUGGGAGAUUGGAUUUGUGGGUCAUGCAAUCACUUAAACUUUUACUGGAGAGAAUCAUGCAGGAGAUGCAAAGAGCCACGAUCCCAAGACAUGAAUGCAGCUGUGAGUGCGGGCCCCAGGGUGUUUGCUUUUAGGCCCGGGGAUUGGUUCUGUGAUGUUGGGAUUUGUCAGGCUCACAACUUUGCAAGCCGAAGAUUCUGUUUCAAAUGUGGUGUAAUUAAAAGCAUACCAUCUUUUGGUCCUACUGUAGGACUAGGAUACUACCCUACCCUUCCCCUUCCCCCUCCCCCUCCUCCUUUCUUGAGUUUCAGUUUCAUGAAUCCCAGAAUCAGCCAACGAGGCUGGAAGCCUGGCGACUGGUUUUGUGGCAGGGGGUUUUUUUUUUAAUUUUUUUUUUUUUUUUUUUUUUUUUAUUUUAAAUAUUUUUUUUUUUUUUAAAUAUANUUUAUCUUUUUUCAUAUUUUUUUUUUUUUUUUUUUUUUUAAUUAAGGUCAUAAUCAUUAUUCAUUAAUACUAGUUGAUUCUCAUUCAUAUAAUCAUAUGAUAUGAUAUAGGCCUGGCUGUAAUGCACACAACUACGCUUCCCGAAUGAUAUGUUUCAAGUGCAAGUCUUCUAGGGAAUUGGUUACCAAUGUUUCUAAUUGAUUCCUUCCUUGCAUUCCGAAUUCUGGUAAAGAUUUUUGUUUUUUUUUUUCUUAUGAAUGUGUGUGUAAUUUAUGUCAUGUUUUUCAGGUCCUAUGGUUAUGCUAUCACCUCUGUUAGGAGAGAGGGAGAGUCAGAGUUGUUGUUUUUUCGUUCAGAUCUUGUUAUAUCUUAUGUGUUUCUUUUUAUUUCUGUUGGUUGCAUUGCAAUGGAGUUUGAAUCUGGUAUGAAGUUUACAUGAAUUAAUGAAGGAUGUAAUUAUAAGUGGUUUCUUCAGUUUGAAUGUGAUGAUUAUGGAUGGAUGGAUGGAGUUAUAAGAUUUUUGUGGCAAUUUGGUUGGAUCAUAUGUGUAGUUGUAAGAAAAGUUCAUUCAACUGGGUUGUUGAGUUUCAUACACAUUCAUUUGCAAAUGGUAAUUUGACAAGGAUUUUUUUUAAUAUAGCUGAUUUUGGAAAUUUUGGUCUUCAAAUGAUUUUUUUGUUUUUUGUUUUUGUUUGUUUGUUUGUUUUUUUUUUUUUUUUUUUUUUUUUUUUUUUUUUUUUUUUUUGUUUGUUUGUUUGUAAUGGUCUAUGUUCCAAAUAAAAUGACUUUUUUUUUUGUUUCCUAAGUUAUACCUGAUUUUUGCAGUUUUAUCACAAAAAUAGUCAUUUUCUUGGUACGAGGACCAAAAUCAUUAAAAAGAGGAUCAAAAUUGCAAAAAAAAAACUCACCUCAAAAUUGCAAAAGAAAACUCACAGACCAAAAUUACAAUUCAAAAUUACAAAAAGAGGACAUACUACCUAAUUCAUUGAUGAUUAAAGUGGGACAUUGUUUAGUCGUAUUCAAUAAUAUAUAGAAGUAGGAUCGGGUGAUGACUUGAAAAAUAGUGAGGAUUGCGAUGACAAAUCUUGGAUGUUUGUUGGUUUAAAUGGGUGGUUGAGAUAAAUCAAAAUUAAUAAAUAAACAAAAAAAAAAUCGUCCAAUGACAUUUUUGUAAAUAAAAUCAAGUUAGGAUCACUUUCCAAUUAAAGGGCAAUGUCUGGGGGUCAUAACUGUCAAAGGAAAUAAUAAAAUUUUGUUGCUGAAAUGAACUCCACGCACAAAAGGUGCGUCGCCAACUCUAUGGAUCUUACUCUUGAACACGUUUCGCCACCAGGUUUACUUGGGUUUAUUUAUUUAUUUUUAUUUUUCAUGGAUCUUACUCUCGUAUGAACUUGUAUAAGUAGUCCCCGGAAAUGUAUUGACCUGAACUUCAUGAAUAUGGCUUCGUAAUCUGGUUUGGAUGGGUUCUAACGGGAAAAAAACAGGUCUUGAACAAGCUGUUGUUUCGAGUUAAAAUCUGAAAAUUUAACCUAGUUGUUUAAUUAUAUGUUUAAGGUGAAUAUCCCUAUUUAAUCUUGAUUGUUAUUCUUAGGAGUUUUGAAAGGUGACCGGGUGCGAAUGGGUUCUGGUUUCAGUUGGAGGUUUACUCUACUACUUGAGGUGAGUUUCUCACUACACUGUGUAAUGUUGUGCAUUCUUUGCUUUAGCUCGUGUGUGUUAUAGUAUGUUUAUACGGGUAACACUAGAUUGGGUUAGUAUCUAGUGGGAGUAUGUUAUUUGUUCAUGUAUUGAAGAAUAUGUAUAGAAGGGAUCGACGUAUCCGAGCAGAGGAUCGGGCAUAGCCAGUGUGUCCCAAGGGGUCGACGAAUUGAGCAAGGGGGAUCGGGCAUGACCAAUGUGUCCCAAUGGGUUCGGGUGAUCGGGCUUAUCCAAUGUGCCCCAAUGGCUCGAUGUAUCGAGCAAAGGGGAUCAGACAUAACUAAUGUGUCCUAGUAGGUGUAUGUUGUUAUUGAUUCGCUCUUUGACAUGCAUACGUGUUUGUGUGGUUGAUAUUGUUGUUAUAUGUGUAUUAAGGGUAGAGCUUGUAUGAUAUAGACAUAUAGUAUUGUGUAUGUGUGAAAUCCCCUAAGCUUUGUGCUAUUCCCUUUUCCCUUAAAAAAAUACCAUUUCAGGAUUAACAUGUACUUAGGAUGGCAGGGUGUGAUAGUACACACCGGCUCAGUACGGAUUGAUGAAGUUUUCAUAUUACCUUGGAUUAUGUUUCUUUGAUUUUGGAAUUUAUAAUUAACAAAUGGUUUUUGAAAUUUAUUGAUCUUGGGAUUAUGGUUUUAAAACUUAUUUUGAAAAAAAGUCAUGGUUUUGAAUAUACUUAUAUUGUUUUUAGAAGUUCAAAUUUAUUGUAAAUUUUAGGAUGUUACACAAUUGUAUUGGAUUGAGUGCGAAAUUUGAAAAUCCAAUUGGAUUACUUGAAGGCAAUGUUACUUUGUUAGUCUUAUUUAGCAUAAUUGUGUGCGGUUUUAUUUUUAGUUAUCGUAGUUAUAUUUGGUUAUUCGAUAGAAAGAGAUUAGAAUUGGUUGGAUAAUGGAUAACUACUGAAUUAAACCAAUAAAAAAAUAUCCAAUAGAUAGAAUCGAUCUAAUCCAACAUCCAAUUGGAUCGAUUUGGUUUGAUUUUUUUAUGAUGAAUUGGAUUGGACCGGUUGACAAAUCCAACAUCUAAUGGAUGAUUAGAUUGGAUUGGUUCCAUCGAAAUCCAUUGGAUUUGAACCGCUGAUCACCCAUAAUUUGGUUAUUAUGUUUUUUUCAAUCAGCUGCUGGAACAUGAUGGUUCUAAAAACAUUUUGCAAAAAGGUAAGAAUCAGCCAUAAAGUCACAUUACCUUUCAUUGUUGAUGGUUGUGGAAUGUGAACUACUUUUUAUUAAAUUAUAAAUUAUCUAAGGAUGAAACUGCAUUUCCUUUCUUCAUAUCACUAUAACACAUUACAUUAUUUUUGUAUGUUUUUAUAACAUCAAAUCUUUGUUGUGAAACAAGGUUUAUUAUUAACAUGAGUUGGUUUGAGCUUUAACAAAAUUUUAAGAUAAUUAACUAUUUCAUACAAAUGAUUGUUCCAUGGAUUAUAUCAUUAUUAUUAUUAUUAUUAUUAUUAUUAUUAUCAUUAUAAAUCUUAUAAUAGAAGUCACUUGUGACAUAUAUCCUUAUUAUUAUCAUUAUCAUCAUUAUAAAUCUUAUAAUAGAAGUCACUUAUGACGCGGUUCAAGAUAACUCCCUAUAUUGAAGUGCAAAUAAUAAAGAUACGAAUGAUGGAUGUUACGUAAUAAGAUUAUAAUUUGAAAUAGUAUGCUAGAAAGUAACAUGACAAACAAAUCCUGAAACCGUAAACAACAAACAUACAAAAGCCAGUUUGGUAUCAAGAACAAGGUUGGACCGAAACCGUAAACAACAAACAUACAAAAGCCAGUUUGGUCCAAAACCCGAAACCCGAUUUAGUACCCGGAACUGGACCGGACCGAACCCCGACCCGCUACACCUAAAAACGGUCCAGUUCUCGGGUAAGGUAAUUCAUGGUUUUCGGUCUUCAGGCUGGUCCGGUUCGGGUUCUGCUCGUUGCUCUAUAUUGAACCAUAUUAAUUUGAAACUACGAAAACUCUUCGGCUUAUAUUUUAAGUUUCUAUUUGGUGUGUUAGCUGAAAAAACUAGUUUUUAACUUAUAAGCUAGUUUAUCCAUAAACUAUCUCGGAUAACUUAGACAAAACUGCAAAAUUGGUCCUUGUGGUAUGCAUUUUUUCUGAGGUUUAAUCCAAACCUCGAUUUUUUUGGAUUGGUGGUCCUUUUUGGUCCCUUGAAAAAUUGAAAAGACUAAAAUGCCCUUCUGAACAGUUUAUAUGUUAUUUUCUAUUUAAUUUAAAAUUAUAUUAAUUAAAAAUAUAGGGCCCACCUCUUUCUUUCUUUCUUUCUUUCUCUCUCUCUCUCUCUCUCUCUCUAUAUAUAUAUAUAGCCAUUUGGGUUUGUCUUUGACAAACAUCUAAUAACAUCUUCAUAAAUUCAAGAACACUCAAGAACAUCUUAUGCCAUCACCACCAUUCGACCACCGUCCUCCACCACCACUGUCUGCCACCUCCAUCUCCACCUGAACUUUUUAUACCACUUUAUAUCCGCCUAAAAUCAUCCCAAAAACAAAAAUCAUACACAAAAUAUGGGUUUGUUCUUGAGUUUCCCCUUAAAAAUAAUCACUAGAUCUGAUGCCUCAUCAAGAGCUCAUGAACACACACACCCACCCACAUUCAAGAACACAUUCAUGAACCCCAUAUCUGAUGAGCACACAAACACAAACACACAUUAUAUCAGAUCUGAUGAAGGGUUUUUGGAUGAACACAUUCAAGAACAAAUUUUUGAACCCUAGAUAUAAGGAACACACGAACAAAAUCAGAUCGAGUUCAUGGGUUCUCGGGUUCUUCAUCCAAAAAACAAAGAUCUAAAACCAAAACGAACAUUUGACCCCUCAGUGGCAGAUUUCUUCGUCCCCAUCUUCCAAAAACCCAUAUUGUAUGUGUGUAUUUUGUGACAUCCCCGAUUUCACGGCCACAAAAGACCGAUUUGAUUAUGAUUAUUUAAAUCAGAAUAUUCUUUUCAAAAGAGUAAUAAUGUGGAAUUUGUUCCAAAAAAUAUGACAAUAUCAUUAUUAAAGCAUUUCCGAGGAAAUGUAUUUCAUUUAUAUUUAAAAACCUUGGGAUGUCAUGGUCAAUACAACAACAUAAGCAUAAAACGUAAUAUUACAGGCCUUACAAUAGUUUAUUAUUCUAUUGGCCUAUUCUCCUUUAAAUCUCACUCCAAAUUUAAACUCAUCACACCUAUGCUCUUACGCUGCUACCUGUGAAACAAAGAAACUGAGUGGGUUAGGCUUCGGAAAGCCUGAUGAGCACAUAGGGUUUUCAACCCACAAUAAUUAAAUUUAUUAAUUUCAUCAAUCAAUCAACUCGGUUAUCCGUUCCCGUUAUCCUCACUUUUUGUCCCUAAAACAUCUAAAUUAAGGGACUUAGCCUAAGGAUUUUUCAUCGGGGUGACAGCACUGCAUAGGGGAUUCCUCAACAAUAUAUGUUAAAAGGCAACCAUAGGGGAAUGGAGUACAUCUGGUGAACAUUUAGUUCAAAAACACCUACAUGUUUCGAGCCUACCACCGUUCCACUAGACUGUCUAGAAUAGUUUGUGGUCGUCAUCUAUACUCCGCUAGAUGACUGGAUCAUCUUAAACACUCUAGGCCUAUCAUUAUUUAUUUUAUCAUCUAUAUCAUCUACCCAUCUUUACCCUUUAUAUUUAUAGGUACAAAAUACAUACAUAGUUUAAAUCGAAUAAAACAUGUAUAUUUUGUUCAUCCAACAUACAUAUCAAGAACACAGAUAAUAUACACACAUAACACGUAAUUUUUAUUAAAUACUUCAUAUUUAUGUAUAAGAUGAAAAUAACUAUGCACUCACUUGACUAGUUAGUGGUUACUAACUAUGUUCUUAAUCGUCGUUAUAUCACACUUUCUUUAUUUAUGACUCCUUGCUCGAAAAUUCUGAACUCUAAUUUCAAAAUUUCUGGCCCUUCUUUAUAUCGAGUAUAUCUUUGGCUAUUAUUGUUUUCUAUCAUAAGAAUUGCUCAAAGGAUACCUCUAUUUAUAUAAAGGAUUUUUGAAUCGCCCGUACAAUAUCAAAAGAUUAGUCACCCAAAAAAAUUACACGUAUAACUUCAAUAAAUUAGAUGUGUACGAACAUACUUGAAAGGUUAACACAUAUUCUUCUGAUAUUGACUCUAAAUUAGAAGGUGUAUUAUUACUUCUCUUUUGUCAACACAUAUCAUUUUAAUUAAUAAAAUAUGUACGACAUGUAUUAUAUUUCUUACAGGUAUGUUGGUUUGCAAUUUACAAAUCAAUUAUAGUUACAUUUAUGGUCCAUAAGUUAUUAUUGUAUUAACACAAUAUAUCAUUCAAGUUACACUGUAGUCCCUCAGCUGCAUGGAGCCCCUAAUAAGAAUAAAGAACAAGUAAGAGACGAUCACCCACUUAUUUGUUUGGAUCGGUCCGAUCCAAUCAAAUUAAGUAAAUUCAACUUAAUUCCGGUUUACAAAACAUUGAUUCAAAUAGUUCAAACUAAAUUCAAAUUCGGUAUGAAUUAAUCAAAUUACAAUUCGAUUUUCAAGAGUCGGAAUGUUUUAAAAUAGUUAUAAUUUGAAUAUUAGCUGACUUUAUAAAAGAAAUAUAAUCAAAUGGUUAGUUGUAAAUUAAAAUUUAUAAACUGUUAAGGAAAAUAUAUUUUGAUUCAUUAGAUAAAAAAAUCUUGAAAAAAAAAUACAUAUUAAGGUUUUUAUUAGGAGAGUGUUUCUAACCUAUUUAAAAAACAAUUCAGUAAAUUAAUAAAUAAUUAAAAGUAUAUAUUAAAAAUUAAAAUAUAUAUAUCUAUUCUAAUAAAUGAAAGUGUUUUUUGUCACAUGUUACACUCUCACUCAAUUUAUCAAAUGUCAUUUUGUGGUUAUUUUGAAUUAAUUUAUUUUUCCAAAUGUCAUGUUAUGUUUUUUUUUUUAUUUUAAUAAAGUUCACAUAAUAUUUAAAUGUAAUAAUUACAAUAAAUUUAGUAAUAAAUAAAUAUAAAUUUCAUUAAUGGAUAAAAAAAUCAAUUUUAAAAGAUAAAAAAAAUCAAUUUUUAUAAUUCAUUAUUUUUUUUUUAUAAAUUCAAAGUUCUUAAAUAUUUAGACAUUUAUAAUUAAUUUUUUUGAUUAACUCAUAUAAUCCAUGAGUCUUAUAGUUUACAAAAUAUUUAUCAAAUAAAGAUAUACUUGCAUGCUGUAAGAUAAUUUUUUUUACUAAUUUACCACCCCGGCCUUUCUAACAAUAAUUUGUAUUAUAUAAAAGACAAUGUUUUCUAAAUAAAUAAAAGAUAUUAGUUUAUUUUAUAUAUAGACAACCACAUAUCAUUUCCAUAUAUAACAUGAUGGUUGUUCAGAUCCGUGAUUAUUUAAUUUAAACUAUUAAAUAUGUAUUUUAUGAGUCGGUGAUUUCUAACACUAUUAAAAAAAGGGACAUUGUAACGAAACUAAAAGGCCGAGUUUCCUGUAAGCAGCUGACUGAAGCCAGACAGUCAAGCCAAGCUGAUUCUCCCCGCUCUCGACCAAAAUCUAUUACUAUUUUCAUCAUCACCGACACCCUCCCCCUCUCUUUUCUUAACAAAUCAAUACAAAUGAUUAAUAUGCAGUAAUCAUCGAAAGUGAGAUCAAGAAUGGGCCCUUUUCUUCUCACGCCAAUGCCCAUCAAACUUCAUUGAUUAUCAAGUUCCUUCAAAUUCAAAUCAAGAACGAAAAAAUCAAUUUCUAUCAUCUGGGGCUCUUCUUUAGUCCCCUGUUUCUACUUUAAUUGGAAUACAUGGAGGCAAAUGCAGGAUUAGUUGCCGGAUCUCAUAAGAGGAACGAGUUGGUGAGAAUAAGACAUGAUUCCGAUGGAGGGGUAUGUGUUCUUUCGAUUUUUCUUGAAUACCCUUUUGGAUUUUGAGUGUUCAGAAAUCAAUUUUAUCGACUCUUGUAUAGAUCUAAGUGAUUUAACAGUAGGCUAUUUUGUUUAACCCAAGUUUGUUUAUUUUGUUUGGAUCUGAGUGAUCAGUGUGACCAGUGAGCUCAGUAAUGAGUGAUGAUACGACUUUUGACUUAUUAAUCCUACCUUUUUGUUAAAUCUUCAAAGAGGGUUUUUUGUUAAAUUUGUGGAUUUAGAUCUGAAUCAUCGAGAUGAAAGUUUCUGUUUUCAGCGCCCAUCUUGAUUAAUUUGACAAAAUUUUCAGCUUUAGCACAUGAUGAUUUCUUAAAUUAUUUAAUUUUGAUUGUGACGUUGAGUGUUGAUGAUGCAGCCGAAGCCUUUAAAGAAUAUGAAUGGACAGAUAUGUCAAAUCUGUGGCGACACCGUCGGCCUGACUGAAAACGGCGACGUUUUUGUUGCUUGCAACGAGUGCGCAUUCCCGGUUUGUAGACCCUGCUACGAGUACGAAAGAAGAGACGGAAAUCAAGCAUGCCCUCAAUGCAAAACUCGAUACAAAAGACACAAAGGUUAGUUUUUGAGUUUUUGUUCGUAUCAAGAACACAUCAAACAUAUGAUUUUUGUAAGAAUUAAAGAGAGAUACAAAUGUUUUUAGGGAGUCCCCGAGUUGACGGUGAUGAUGACGAGGACGAUGUUGAUGACCUGGAAAACGAGUUUGAUUAUGCACAAGGGAGACGACAAUGGCAAGGAGAAGAUCCGGAUCUUUCUUCAUCUUCUAGAAGACAUGAAUCACAGCAACCAGUUCCCCUUCUCACUAAUGGCCAACAAGUAAGAAAAUUACUUAUAUACCCUUUUGUUCUAAGCAUUACCUUUUUAACUAAAUUCAGAGUGUUAUUUUCAGGUAUCUGGUGAAAUCCCAAUUGCCACACCGGACAAUCUAUCUGUAAGAAGUACAUCGGGUCCAUUAGGCCCUGGUGACAAGCCUGUCCGCUAUAUGGAUCCAAGACAACCAGGUUACUUUCUUUUUUUUUUUUUUUUUUUUUAAAAAAAAAGUAUUAUUAUUAAUCAGAUAAUGUUGUAGUAAUUAUGCUAAUGAUGCCCUUUUAAUAAAUAGUUCCUGUAAGAAUUGUGGACCCAUCAAAGGAUUUAAAUUCAUAUGGGCUUGGGAAUGUGGACUGGAAGGAAAGGGUAGAAGGCUGGAAACUAAAACAAGACAAAAACAUAAUGCAAAUGGCAAACAGAUACAAUGGCGGUGAAGGGAGAGGAGGUGAGAUUGAAGGCACGGGAUCAAAUGGAGAAGAAUUGCAACUGUAAGUAGUAAACUAAAGGGUACUUUAGGAAUAUCAUAUUUGUCGACUUAUGAUUUGACUUUUUUUUUUUUUUUUUUUUUUUUUUUUUUUUANUUUGUUUUGUUUUUUUUUUUUUUUUUUUUUUUUUUUUUUUUUUUUUUUUUAAAUAUAUAUAGGGUUGAUGAUCCAAGACAAUUAAUGAGCCGUGUGGUGCCUAUUUCAUCUUCUCAUUUGACUCCAUAUCGAGUUGUGAUUAUAUUGCGAUUGAUUAUUUUGGGAUUUUUCUUGCAAUAUCGGUUGACUCAUCCUGUUAAUGAUGCGUAUCCUUUGUGGCUUGUAUCUGUUAUUUGUGAGGUGUGGUUUGCUUUUUCUUGGCUUCUUGAUCAAUUUCCAAAAUGGUCCCCCGUUGAACGUGAGACCUUCCUUGAUCGCCUUGCAUUGAGGUAAGUAAGUAAUGGGAUUUAGAUUUUGGGCUAAUUGCAAGAAAUAGCAAUGUACUUUCAUUUGUAGUCAUCAUCAUGGGCAAUUAGGUAAUUUUAGCUUAAACAAUGAAAAUUUGUUGUUUUGUAGGUUUGAUAGGGAAGGAGAGCCUUCACAAUUGGCACCUAUAGAUGUCUUUGUGAGUACAGUGGAUCCAUUAAAAGAGCCUCCUCUCAUCACUGCAAACACAGUGUUGUCUAUUCUUGCUGUGGAGUAUCCUGUUGACAAAGUCUCCUGCUAUGUAUCUGAUGAUGGAUCUGCUAUGCUUACAUUUGAGUCUCUUUCUGAGACAGCAGAGUUUGCAAAAAAGUGGGUCCCAUUCUGCAAGAAGCAUAGCAUCGAGCCCAGAGCCCCUGAGUUUUAUUUUGCUCAAAAGAUAGAUUACUUGAAGGACAAGAUCCAGCCUUCUUUCGUCAAAGAACGUAGAGCAAUGAAGGUGAGUUUUACCACUUUUAUGUUUUAUGUUUUAUGAUUUCUUCCAGUGUUUUACCAAAUACCUAAAACACCCUUUUAUGGCAGAGAGAAUACGAAGAAUUCAAAGUUCGGGUCAAUGCACUUGUAGCAAAAGCACAAAAGAUGCCGGAAGAAGGCUGGUCUAUGCAGGAUGGAACUCCUUGGCCUGGAAACAACCCCCGUGAUCAUCCUGGAAUGAUUCAGGUAUUUGAAUGAUUGUUUGGUUGCUGAAAAUUUGUAUAUCAACAGUUGAUUGUUGACUUCUCUUGUUUAUGAUGAUUGGAAUUGGAUAGGUGUUCUUGGGGCACAGUGGAGGUUGCGAUACAGAUGGAAAUGAGCUACCUCGUCUUGUUUACGUGUCCCGUGAAAAACGUCCUGGGUUUCAACAUCACAAGAAAGCCGGUGCCAUGAAUGCUUUGGUAUGGAUCUCUUAAAAAAACAUGGAAAUUUUUUGUGUUUAUUGGUUGUUUAUGGAUGCGAUGCAAUUUGGUGUUACAGAUUAGGGUUUCGGCGGUUUUGACGAAUGGCGCGUACCUUUUGAACGUCGAUUGUGAUCACUACUUCAACAACAGCAAAGCUCUAAAAGAAGCCAUGUGUUUCAUGAUGGAUCCUGCCUAUGGAAAGAAGACAUGCUAUGUUCAAUUCCCACAGAGAUUCGACGGGAUUGAUUUACACGAUCGAUAUGCUAAUCGCAAUAUCGUCUUCUUCGAUGUGCUUUUCUGAACUUUACAGAGUCAAACUUAAAAAAAAAAAUUCAAAUUCAAAUUCCGAUCUUGUUGGGAUUUCAAAAAUCAAAAAUUGACAUUUCUAUAUAUAUAUAUUUUGUACAGAUUAACUUGAAAGGGCUGGAUGGGAUUCAGGGGCCGGUUUACGUGGGAACUGGUUGCUGUUUCAAUCGACGAGCUCUGUAUGGAUACGACCCUGUUUUAACAGAGGCUGAUUUAGAACCAAAUAUCAUUGUGAAAAGCUGUUGUGGUUCACGAAAGAAGUCGAGAAACGUUAACAAGAAGUACGUGGAUAAAAAAGCAGUGAUGAAAAGAACGGAAUCCAACACUCCAAUUUUAAACAUGGAUGAUAUCGAUGAGGGUGUUGAAGGUUUGAUUUUGAGUCUUUCACUUUAGUUUGUGGGUCCAGUGAAUCAUUAAUGUUGACUAAAUUCUUUUGUUUUUGAAAGGGUAUGAUGAAGAUAGAUCGUUACUAAUAUCGCAAAAGAGCUUAGAGAAGCGAUUUGGUCAAUCUCCUGUAUUUGUUGCUGCAACUUUCAUGGAGAUGGGAGGAAUUCCCCCCACUACCAAUCCAGCUACCCUUUUGAAGGAAGCAAUACAUGUUAUUAGCUGUGGUUAUGAGGAUAAAACCGAGUGGGGUAAAGAGGUAAUUUUACCCUUCUAGCUUCCGAUUCUUGUUAUACAUGGUCAUCGGAAAAACAAUAAUCUUCAUGUUAUUUUGUUUUGUGUACAAAUGCAAGCAGAUUGGAUGGAUUUAUGGGUCUGUGACAGAAGAUAUUUUAACUGGAUUCAAGAUGCACACAAGAGGAUGGAUCUCAAUAUAUUGCAUGCCACAACGUCCGGCUUUCAAGGGUUCUGCUCCGAUCAAUCUUUCCGAUCGUCUGAACCAGGUCCUCCGGUGGGCUUUAGGUUCAAUCGAGAUUUUACUCAGUAGACAUUGCCCCAUCUGGUAUGGGUAUAAUGGUAAAUUAAAACUCCUGGAGAGGCUCGCAUACAUAAACACCAUCGUCUAUCCCCUCACCUCCAUCCCUCUUCUAGCCUACUGUGUACUUCCGGCCGUCUGCCUUCUCACCGGAAAAUUCAUCAUCCCCGAGGUACGUUAAUCAUGCUUUAUGAGUUGUACGAUAUGCAUGAAUGUUUGUACAUGUUGAAAAUUGGGGGUUUUGCAACAGAUAAGCAACUAUGCUAGUAUGUGGUUUAUUCUUCUCUUUAUCUCCAUCGCUGCAACCGGAAUCUUGGAGCUCCGGUGGAGUGGCGUGAGUAUUGAAGACUGGUGGAGAAACGAACAGUUUUGGGUGAUAGGAGGCACGUCCGCUCAUCUAUUCGCCGUCUUCCAAGGUCUUCUCAAAGUUCUCGCCGGAAUCGACACCAAUUUCACCGUCACAUCCAAGGCAAACGACGAAGACGGUGAUUUUGCAGAACUCUAUAUAUUCAAAUGGACGGCGCUCCUCAUCCCACCCACCAGUGUUCUGAUCGUAAACCUAAUCGGCAUAGUUUCCGGCGUUUCAUCUGCAAUCAACAGCGGUUACCAGUCGUGGGGCCCACUUUUUGGGAAACUGUUUUUUGCAAUCUGGGUUAUCGUCCAUUUAUACCCGUUUCUCAAAGGUCUGUUGGGUCGGCAAAAUCGAACCCCCACCAUUGUUAUCGUGUGGUCGAUUCUGCUUGCUUCGAUUUUCUCCCUUUUGUGGGUUCGUAUCGACCCCUUUACCACAGACGAUACUCUUGAUGCAGUUAAAGGACAAUGCGGGAUCGAUUGUUAGGUAUAUAUAUAUAAAGUUUCUGAUUUGCAAAUUUGUGUAAGCCGUGAUGUGAUGCGAUGUGAUGUGUACGAAUGAUAUAAUUAUUUGAUUUAUUGUUGUUAUCCCACGAAUUCAAUGAAAAAUUUAAGUAUAACCUUAUCUUAAUAUGUCGGUUCAUUACAUUCAAUUAAGUUGAGUUGUAUGCAAAUUUCUUGUUAUUAUACAGUAUAUUACAAAAUUCAAACACUAUCUUCUUCAUAUUUAAUUUCAUGAAUUUAGUCUUCAACAAGUACAUAUAUAUAAAACAAAACAUGAAAUUCCAUACACACCAAGGUUCAUGUCAGAUCCUGAAACAAAAGAUUAAAGAAAAUAAAGUUAGAUGGUUGUAAAUUGUAACCUAAUGAAAUAUAAGAAAAGUUGGGGUUUUACUUACUCAAUAUAUUCAACGUUGAUUUUCUCCCUUUGAGACUUGGAAAUGGCAGAAAAAGCAUCAUUUGACAAAACAAUAGUCGAAGGACACGGCCUUUUGGAACAAAAAUCUACCACCUUAACAUCAAUGGUACCAUCUCUACAUGGUUUAUUAUUUCCACUCAAACACUUGAGUCUGUAUCGCCUACCACAUGCUGCACCGUUAUCCCAUAGUCCUUCGCUCACUGACACAAAUAAGUUCCCCAAUGGGAAUUGAUCUGCUCGGUUGCCAUUGCACCUUGUGGCUACAUUAAAAAUACAUAUAAAAAAAAAUACUUCAAUUUAACUAUUAUUUAUUUAUUUAUUUACAAUGUCAAAAACAUAAUAAUUAGAAUCAUAUUUAAACUUACGUGUAUAAGGAGGCUCAUAGGAUGAGGCAGUGCCAAUUUCACUCAAACCACACUUGAUGUUAUUGAAGAUUAACAAUAAAAAUAAAUUCACAAUCACUCCAAUUCCCAUCGCUACAAAUUCCCUUUUCUUUUUUCUCUCUCUCUGUCAAAUACUAUGGUAGUAAGAUGCACCCCCUUGGAUUAUAUAUAGAUAUCGUAUGGAUUUAUUUAAAAGAUAUAGGUAUAGUUUGAGAUAUAUUGUCACGUGUUUUUUAAUAGAAAUGUGCUUAGCAUGUAUAUAGAAUGAAUGAAAAGUUGGUGAUCAAAUUGGAUAAACUAUAGAUGUUUAAUGUGAUAUAUAUCUACCUUUGCGCAUGAAAAAUGGAUUUAAUAGGUUUUGGUCAAUUGUGAUAUAAAGUUCUUGAUGCCUACCACUAAUUAGUUUAAGGAAAGAUGGUUUCUAACGUAAACAUAAAACAACUUUUCUAUCGUCUCUUUUAAACAGAAAAAAUAGUCAAUUUUGACAAUGGCACAAAAAGGCAAUGGAAAAGCAUAUGUAAGGAUUAUUAGAUAAAACGAUAGUGUUUUAAUGGAGAAAAAUUAUAUUUUCGGUGAAUUUUUUUUAGUUGAUAAACCCAUUGUUGGUGUCGAAUCUAUGAAAUUAUUUUGGCUUAUACGUCGGCUGACCGAUAUGAUUACCAAAGAAAGGUGCAUCCAGUACAAUCACCACUAACUAAAACCAAUGGCUCUAAACUGUUCGCAAUUUUUUAAGGAAGGGAAAUUCAUAUUUGAAUUCGUCACUACAAAGUGUUACAUGAUUCGUUAUUAAUAAAUAUUUUAUAUUACCUUUUAUCAUAUAAAUAAACAAUCCAAAUUUUAUUUUUAGAUGCAUAUUUCACAAAGCUUUUGUGUUUUUUUCGGUUCAAGUUUGUGUUAAAGUAAUUCAAUAUAGAUGGAGAAUGUCGUUCAAUAAAAGUAGUUUGUGUUAAAGUAAUUCUAUACAGAUGGAAAAUGAUGUUCAAUAAAAGUUUAGAAUAUCAGAUAAUCAAAAUUAGUUUGUCGAUAAGAUUUAUUAUUUUAAAAGAUGGGAUAUAUAUACUAAACUCUCAAUAUUUUUAACGAUUCAACAAAAAAGUCUUAAAUUUUAUUUUUUUAGAGUAAAAUCCUAACUAGCGGCAGUUUUUGACAUGUUUACCAUUUUUUGCCAGUUAGCCAGUAAUUAUGGUUUUACUAUAAAAAAAUAAAAUUUAUGACUUUCUUUUUCAAAUCGUGAAUUAAGACAUUACUGUAAAAAAAAAUUAAAGUUUAGGACUUUCUUAUCAAAUCGUUAAAAAUAUAGGGACUUUAGUGUAUAUAUCCAUUUUUUUGUUAGAAAUUUAAUGUCAUUAUAAUCUUUAAGUAUAAGAGUUAUUGAAAUCUGACCAAUAUGCUCUGGUCAACUAGAUUCUAUUAAAAUCAUUAACGUUUGAUUCUUGUUAAAUAGUUUUUUUUUAAUCUCAACAAAUCGACAUUGAAAAAAAUAAAGAUAAUCAAGAAAGAAAGAACCACGAUUGUGUUGAAUUUUUGCAUAAUGAUAAUCAAGAAAGAAAGAACCAGUAUCGUGUUGAGUUUUUUGCAAUCCUAAAAAUGGAGAAUUAAGAAACCGGAAAAGAAGAAAUUGUCCUUCUUACACAUUCUCCACAUUCACACAUUUUUUACCGGACAUGUGUUGUUUGUGUUUGUUGAAUUUGUUCCUCUUUUCAGUUCAAGAUUUGACGGCGAACCAAGAAAAAAGUUUUACAAGUCUUCUUACCCUCUAUCGUUCUCUCUUUUGCAUCAGUUUCCCAGAUUGUGAUCGUAGCAAAGUAAGAUGAUGAUGGUAAGAAAAAACAAUGGUGUUGCAAUAAAAAUCACAAUUAAAAGUUCUUGGGAUAGGAAUUAGGUCUCAUGAGACUGAUAAAAUUAUUUGUUUCUAGGGAAACCAAACCUAUACACUAAAGUCUCAAUAUUUUUAACGAUUUAACAAAAAAGUCAUAAACUUUAUUUUUUUGACAGUAAAACCCUAAUUACCGGCUAACCGGCAAAAAAGAGUAAAUGUUUCAAAAACUGUCGAUAAUUAGGAUUUUACUGUCAAUUGAUUUUAAUAUUUUCAUGCAAAAGACAACUGUAUUACGAAAGAAAUAACUGUUAACCGUAACUACAAUAAGGUAUUAAAGUUAUAGAAGUUUCAAUCCUAAUAACGCAUAAUUUUCACUUUUGGUUUAAUAUGUUUAUAUUAUUUAUCUAAAAAACAAAAUCAUAAUAAAUAUAUUUUGAUUAAAUGUCACAGAAAAACCACGCCCAUGUCAAUUUUGAUUGUUACAAAAUGACAAUUUUUUUGAAAAGAGAUAUCAUACCGUAUUAAUAAGGUGGUGUUUGUUUUUUUUUCAAAAGCUCUUCUAGACCUUUUAUGUCUGCAUCGCGUAGACGACCCACAAACUUUUAGUCCUAUAGACUGUUUGUUUUUUAGAAGACCGUACGCAUAAAAAAAUCUGUCCAUCCUCUUCUUGACGUAGAUGUGAACAUAUGUCUUCUAGUCUCUUUCUUAAUCUUUCCACUAAUCUUAAGAGACAAUAAAAAAGCGCAAAAAGAAUAAAAAAAUGAAAAAAAAAACCUAUCAAACCUCAUUCGUGCACCUUUUUUUUUAAUUCAUUUGCCAUGUAAACACUUUGUAAAUAUAUUAUUUUAAUGAUUUUAGCUUUAUAAACUUUAUUUGGUCAAAUAAUUUUUUGGUAUUCAUAUUUUAAAAAACUUUAUGCAUAUUUAUCCGAUGACUUUUUAUAACAGUAAUUAAAAAAGUUAAAUAUACUACAAAACUUAUGAAAGUAUUUUACGAACGUGUUUUUUUUCUUCAUAAAAUGGACAAUUAAUUUGUUAUAUAUAUAUAUAUAUGCUUAUUAUAUGAUAACUAGGCUCGUGCGUGUGAACAAGUCUCCGUUUGCCACCUAGCACGGUAUCUNNNNNNNNNNNNNNNNNNNNNNNNNNNNNNNNNNNNNNNNNNNNNNNNNNNNNNNNNNNNNNNNNNNNNNNNNNNNNNNNNNNNNNNNNNNNNNNNNNNNNNNNNNNNNNNNNNNNAUAUAUAUAUAUAUAUUGAAAAUAAGGUGGUUGUAUUAUUAAAUUACAAUGUUUUUAUAUAAGAAAUAUUGAAAAAGUCUUUUAAAUUAAAAAAAAAAUCAAUUUAUUUAGGUUUUAAUUUAUUUUAGCAGUUUGUAGAUUUUAAAAAACAAACAGUCUUCUUGCAGACUGCAGACGUUUGGUCCAUAUCUUCUACUGCAGAUGUCGUCCGCAGACUGCAGACAUUUUGCUUCUGAAAAACAAACACCAUCUAAGUUUCAAACGCAUAAACAUUUAUUAACAAAAGACAUGUAAACGUGGAUUAUGAACUAAUGACAUAGAUAUACGAUAAGUACUAUAAAGAGGAAAAAGCAUAGUUAAGAUUGACCCAAAUUGUAAUGAUUAUAGUCUUGCUAAUGUAAAUAUUUAAUUAGUUUUUCUUGAUAAUCAUGAUAAAUGAUACUUUUUGACUCAUGAGUGAUGAAUAAACAAUAGUAUAUAUAGAUUUACUAAGACGAAAAAAGACAUGAGUUUUAAUGAUAGAAUAUUAUUGAAAAAAUAAUAAAGAAUAUGAUCAACUUUAAAUUAGUGCCCGGAUAAAAUCGAAGUUUUAGAAAGUGCUGAUUAGUGGCGAUCCUUCAUUUUUUUAUAACUUUAUUUCAAAUUAAUGGUAAUCAUGUAUAAUAAUUAAUAAACUUACAAUACGCUAAUAUACAUUACAAUCAUUUUCAUCCUAUGUGAAAAUAAUUUUUGACAUAUUAUUCGUUUUCAAAUUAUAUAGAUGCAUAGGCAAUAAUAUGUCUUUUAUGUGAAAUAAUGUGUGUUUUUUUUAUGUGAAAACAUGUUUUUUAUAUAUAAAAAUAUAUUUUCACAUAAAAAAAACCUGUUAUGCAAAAAACCUUUUGGACCAAAUUUAUAUAGAAACAUAUUUUUCACAUAUAAAAACCUUUUUAUAACAAAAAUGUUUUGUAAAAAAGGUUUUUAGUAUAAAUAUGAUUUUAUAAAGCAAAAAUAACAUAUUUCGAAACAAAAUUUUGGAAAAAUAUAUGUAAAAAAAACAAAAUUUAAGAUGAAAUUGUAACAAAAUUUUAAAAUAGGGACAAAAAUAUAAAAAUUGGACCAAAUUUAUAACAAAAUUUAAAAUCUGAGAAAAAAAUGUAAAUUUUAAAACUGGGAUGACCUUAUAGCCGGGAAAAAUGAUGAAAAUGAAUAUAUUUACCUGUAUUCGUAUCUUAAUUAAAAAAAUAAUAAUUUAAAUACUUAAUUGAAUAUAAGGUUAAAAAUAUAAACACUUUAUAGAUUUUCCUAUACUAAAUACUAUAGCAAAAUAUGUGGAAUUUGGUAUUUAGUAACUUUGGUCUCACUUUUGUUAAAUUUCUAUUUUCUAUCAUUUUACUUUUUGAAAAUUCGUUUUUACCUCUCGAUUUUUCUACUUAUUAACUUUGGUCCAUCACUUUUGUUAAGUUCUCAAAUUUUCAUCCUUUUUACUUUUGAAAUUGUUGCUUUUACCCCCUUUAACUUUCAACUUUCUAGAUACUCAACUCACUCAGCAUGAAGUAUAAGAAAAAAGAGAAGAGAGAGAGAGAGAGAGAGAGAGGAAGCAGCGGGCUGAAGAACCCACAUGAGACGUCUUCUGGCGGUAACCACCAAGGCGUGGAUUUGUUACCCUAGCCGUCGCACGACUCCGUGCACCCUUGGAGAGUAAUCAGUGUUAAAACACUAAGUUGCUUGAAAUAAGGAAUUUGAAGUUAAAUUGAAAAUUUAAAUGUAGAUACGAAAACACAUCAUCUUGCUAACUUGACAACUUAACGCCAUCUUAAGUGGAUACCAUAGAAUGACCCACGAGUGGCGAAUUUAAAAAAAGAAUCACAUGGUUCCUAAUUAAGUGAAGCCAAUAAAAAAAAUCAACAAUACUUUUGGAGUCGGGUCAGGUCGGCUCAUGUACCUUAAAAGAACUGAACAAGUUCAAUCGGCUCAUGUACCUUGUAACGACCCGUCUCUGGUAUGUUGUUUCCAUGUUAUUUAUUUAGAAGUUUUCAAGAGGGACUCGGGGAGUCUAUAGCCCGACUCGUCGAGUAGAGACGGGAUUUCGAGCACGUGUAAGUCGCCGACUCAACGAGUCCAUAUUCGAGACUCGGCGAGUCCGCCUGCUAGGAAGAAACCCUAAAUCCCCGGGUUUGCUCACUAUUUAAGCAAUGUUAUGUGCCCCAAACUCGCCUCCUUCACCCUCAGAGAGCUUGAGAGAAACCCUAAACCAUUCCUUGUAUGACUAAAGUGUUUUGUGUGGAUUCUUGAAGGAAAAAGAAGAAAGGACCCAAAAAGAGGAAGUGUAGAGCAAAGAUCCAAGGCCAAAGUCAGAGUUCAUUGAGGUAUGUCUCGGAAUUAUUCUGUUUUGUGCUUAAAACCUCCAUUAGAACACCUCUAAGGCUAGUUUAAUGUAUUUUCCAAGCUUUAUAGUUGUAUGGAUGCCUUGUUGGGUCGAGAUAUCCCUAGAUCUGUUCAUUUAGGAGUUUUAGAGCCCUGAUCUAGUGCCUUUUCGAAGUUUCUUUGCUUGAGAACCCUAGAUCUAGCCUUUAUUAUGCUUUUUGAGCCUUUUAAUCUUCAUGGGUGCAUAUGGGCACGUAAAGAUAGAAUCUUUACGUGUUAAUCGAGCUUAGGGAGCCCAGAUCUAUAAGUUUUAUGCGUUGGAUUCAAGCAGAAUCGAGUUUAUAGUAGCUGCAUGCAUGCGACUCGGCGAGUCGUUCUUCCGACUCGGUGAGUCGAGUCGUGAGUCCCCGAUUUUUCCUCUUUUGAGUAAUGCCGAGUGGGGACCAGUGAGUAGUAGAGUGGACUUAGUGAGCUGGAGGUCAGACUCAGUAAUGGAGGGACUCGACGAGUUGUUCAUACAACUCGGCGAGUCCAAGGCAAUCUUCUUAGCUCAAGAACAACUCGUCGAGUUGUUCAUACGACUCGGCGAGUCGGAUGCAGAUAGCUUGAGUUCUAGAAUCGAAAGGAAACUCGUCGAGUUUAUGCCAUACUCGACGAGUAGCAGCGAGUAGGGUUGAGAAGUGAGAAUAGGGACUAGGCGAGUUGGCGGCCCAACUCGGCGAGUCAGGUCAACUGUAGGUUGACUUUGACCAGGAGAGUUGACUUUGACCAGGGGUAAAAGAAUCAUUUUACCCCAAUACAGUGAUUAGUAUUUGAUUGAGUGUGUUUAUGGAAUUGUAGCCGGAGAGAUACCAGAGCAGCAGCAGAUAGCUUCCAGAGCCAUACAUUCAGCAGCCAGUUUACGAGGUGAGUUUCCUACCAGUAGGAACGGGUCUACGACAACAAUGCCGGCCCGUUUAGCUAGCAGUUAGUUCCGGACUUCGGUCCGAAGCAGUAGUUCAAGGUGCUUGAUGUUGUGUUUCGGGCAUGUCUAUGUGUUAUGUUAGCAGAUACGUGUUUAUGUUAUGCUAUGUUCAGACAGUUCCGGAUUUCGGUCCGAUGCAGCUAGUUCCGGACUCCGGUCCGAUGCAGGGGACAAGGUCCCAGUCAGUUCCGGAUUUCGGUCCGAUGCAGACAGUUUCGGACUUCGGUCCGAUGCAGUCAAUUCCAGACUUCGGUCCGAUGCAGUGGGCAAGGCCCAGUAUGUGCUUUAUUUGUUAUUGUGUGGUAUGCGGUAGUUUAGGGGAGCUCACUAAGCUUCGUGCUUACAGUUUCAGUUUUGGUUUCAGGUACUUCCGCAAGUAAAGGGAAGAACUCGGGAUGAUGCAUCGCACACACCACAACUUCAGUUUUUGUCGUGGGAGUUGAUUCAGUUUCUUAGAUAUGUUUUGAUACUGUUGUGACACAUUUUUUCUCACAGUAUUUUAUUAUGUGAUACUCAGUUUUAUGAUCUUUGUUAUAAUAUAAAUGAAAUUAUCGGGUCGUAUUUUUGGGAUGUUUCAAGUACCUUGUGCCACCGAUUAAAAAAAUUUUAAAAACCGAUUGAAAUAUAACUGAAAAAGACAUACAGCUUAACGAAAAACUAGUUGAUUAUUAGUCCAUUGAUAAAGCGGCGAACGCAGAGUGAGAGUCUUUGGCAUGUGGGCUUUCAUUUUAUUAGAACAACUUGUUUAUUUAUUAAUAUUUUGAGAGUGCCGAUUAAGAGUAGUUAACUUUUUAUUAUCAAUCUCAUAAUUUAAAAUAACAAAUUGUCCCUAAUAACUUAUAUUUUUCUCUUUUUAAAGUGGUUUUUUUUUUUAAAAAUAAAAAUAAAAAUAAACUCAAUGUAGGUUCUCUAUUUUUUUAAGACUAAAUUACACAGAUGGUCCCUGUGGUUGGCACGAGAGACCAAAGAUAGUCCUUAUGAGGAAUUUUGGACUUGUAUGGUCCCCGUGGUUCCAAAUUGUUGCACGAAGAGUCCUUAUGACAUACUCCGUUUAAUUGUUGUCGUUUAUUUAAAUCACGUAACCCUCACACGAGGGUAUUUUGGUCUUUUGCUUAUCCCUUCUCUCUCUCAUAUCUUUAUAUGAUCUGCAAAAGAUUUCCCUUCCCUAUAAAAAUUAAACCCCCAUCACUUCCUUCAUUAUUUUUCGUCUCCUCUAUUCUCUCUUCUCUCUUCUCUCUGCUGUGUCUUUCUAAGAAACUUUGCUUAAGAAUGGUAAAUUGUUUUUGUGGAACGCAAGCGGUGAUAGUGACAUCAUGGAUGGAUCUCAACCCAGGUUGUAUGUUUUGGAAAUGUCCUAGCAGUUGCGGUUUCAUUGCCUGGUUUGAUGAGCCGAUGUGUCGAAGGGUUGUGGCUGUCAUUCCAGGUUUGCUAAGAUCCAUGAACAAGCUUCAAGAAUCUCUGCUGCAAGCAAGUUUUGAAGCAAAAAAAGUGAAGAUGAUGCUAGUUUUUAGUUGGGUUUUCUUUUUCAUGUAUGUGUAUAAAAGAUGCUAAUAGUAUUAGUCUGGAGAUGAUGGUUCUUUUGCUUGUGGGUAGAUGAUGGUUCUUUUGCUUGUGGUUAGAAUCAGAUAAUAGUAUUAAUUUGAAGAUGAUUUCGUUUUGUUUGUUUGUGAUGCAAGAAAUGUUCGUAUGUAUGAAUGGAAUGCUUUUUAUUUGGGAAACUUUUAGUCUGCUACCAUUGUAAAAUAUUGGUCAGGAACUUAAUGAGUGUAAAAUAUUGGUCUGCAACUUAAUGAACCGUGCAGAUCCAUUAAAGUAUAAAAUAUGAAAGUGAAAGGUUUUUGUAGGCUUUAGACCAUUGUAGAGCCAUAACAACAUUAGAAAUGUUCAAAAAUAAAAUGCAAACUUUUGCAUAGUCAUAAAGUUCAUUACAUAACCUUAAAGUGCAAAGUCAUAAUACCAAAAAAAUAUCAAAAGAGCUUGCAGACUAAUGUAUCAUAACCAAAAGAACCAUCUUAGUCUAGCACCCUGUGUGAACCAUAAUACCAACAAAAGAUAAAGACACACAAUAACCAACUUAGUCUGACCUUUCUAAGGUACCAAAACAAACAACACAAAAGACCUUUCUAAGGUUCCAUAACAAACAACACAAAAGACAACAAAUCAAACUUUUUCCUUCAUUUUGGAUUUAUCCUUAAGUUUGGUUUUCUCCUUCAUUUUGGGUUUCUCCUUUUUUCCAUCUCCCUGCUUCUUUGCCUUGCUAAGCUUCUUGCCCCCUGCCACCACAUUUCUAACUUCAGUUUGUCCCCCUUGUCCCUUGCAACUCCUAGAGUUGUGACCCUUGUUAUUGCAUUUGCUACAAGUAACUGUAAGGAACUUCUUGGUCAAACUUUUACCUUGAUUAUUUGGUUCUUCAGUUUGAGCUCUCUUUCUCUUCUUUUUUGGUCUCCCCACCUGCAUAAUUAAUAAAUUAUAAAACAGUAUAAACGUAUACUAACUUGUAAAUUGAAAAUUAUUUACCUGUUUAGUAUGCUUAGGAGGUGUUAGUGUUAUGGGGAAAUCUGACUUUGGCCACAUACUUCUUCCAUUGAUAGGUUGAACUUUGUACUUGUACAUUUCAUUCCAUGUGCUUAACCUAUAACAUGGAUGUACCCACUCCUCAAGAGGUGGGACAUUUUUUCCCAGUGCCUGCAACUACAAUUCCUGUCCCUCCAAUUAACCACAAAUUGUUCCCCCAUUGUCCCAGUAACUUGAGUCUUAUCAGCACCAUUAAAUAUGCAAGUGUAUUGAGAAGCAUCUUUCUUAACUCCAUCUAAAAGUUUUGUGGCUGGGGGGGGGAGAGGGGCNUUAUCUAUCACAUUUUGCACAAUACAAAUUCGUUUCAUUAAGUAUUCCCUAAUAUAUUCUAAACAUGUAAUUAUAGGUUUGUCUCGAGCAUCUAACAACUUUGAGAUGAAAACUUCACAUAAAUUAUUCAACAAAAUAUCUGUAUGUGCUCUUCCUGUACAAUGCAACAAAAUAUCUUAUAAGAAUCUGUCAAAGUGUAAAUCUUCCUUGAAUCUGUCAAAGUGUCUAACUGUUGUUGCUGUUGCACAUUCCCAUAAAUGAUCUCUGUGCUCCUUCCCCCUCCAUUGUAGCUUCAUGUUUUCGUGAAUAUGUCUUAAACAGAACCUGUGUUCAGCGCUAGGUAAUAGGUUGGCAAUGGCAGAUAAAAUCCCCUAAUUAACAAGUAACAAAAAUGUUAUUUUCUAAAUGUAGUAGACAAAAUUACAAAGAUGUCAUGAACAAGUAUCAUAAGAAGAUUAACCUUUUGCCUGUCAGAAAUAAAUGUGAAGUUUGAAUUUGUAGAGAGCUCCAAAUCUUCACCUAGACACUCUAGAAACCAACUCCAUGAGCUUUUGUUCUCGGCUUCAACUAUGGCAUAUGCUAGUGGGUAGAUCCGAUUAUUGGAAUCAAGACCCACAACAGUGAGAACCUAUCCAGUGUAAGGUCCCUUCAUGAAAGCCCCAUCGAAACCUAAAAAAUCUCUUAAACCUGCCUUAAAACCCAGUUUUAAUGCACCUAAACAGACAUAAAUUCUCUUAAACAUCCUAGUUUCCAAGUCUGCAUUUGGUUCACUGUAUACAUCAAUCUUCACAAUUGUUCCUGGGUUGCACUGUUGUAAUUCUAAUACGUAAUCCCUGAGAAGGCUGUAUUGCUUUUGAUAAUCUCCAUAAACAUGUUUCUGUGCAAGUUGUUUAGCCCUAAAGACCUUCAUUCUUGACAUCCCCACCUCGUAUAUCUUUUGUAACUCUACACACAAAGCUUUGACUGGGAUAGUUGGGUUUCCUUCCACUUCUUGAAGAAUGAUGGUUGUAAGAAACUUAGGCCUCAUUUGAUAGUUGCCGAUUGAGAAAGUGCUGACUGAGAAAGGUCUGUCUGGGUAAGAAAUCCUGAUUGGGUAAGAAAUCCUGUUGUUUGAUUGUACAUCUGACUGAAUGUGCUGAGUGAUGAAAAAUGACCAUUUUACCCUGCUGUUAUAUAUAUAUAUUGAUGGAUUAAAUUGCUGAAUAAUUAUAAAAACAUACAUAUUGUCAUACAAAAUGUAAAUUACACACAAAUAAAAAAUGUCAUACAAAAUGUAAAUUAAACAUAAAUCAUUUAAUAUCCAAAUAAAAACAUAAUGAAAUUUAAAAUAACAUAAUAAUUUAAUGUAAAGUAGGUGAAAGUAGUCGAUUUGCAAUCUGAUCACGCAAAACACGCAUAUAUUCAACGGCUUCUGGACCCCAUUCUAUGCCUUGUAUGUUUUCUCUAUCAAUUCCCCCACCUUGGACGUCAGGAGUAACCAUAGUGUCCUCCUCAAAAUUUCUAAACAAGUCAUCUUCUAUAUUGUAUUUCCUUAUAAAAUUAUGGACCGCGACACAAGCAAUGACUAUGUCUCUUUGCACUGUAAAAGGAUAAGGAGCCAUUUGUUUUAAGAUUGGGAAUCUCGCCUUCAAUACACCAUAAGCACGCUCAAUAACAUUUCUAAGUUGUGCAUGAGCAUGAUUGAACCUUUCUUCUCUAGUUAAAGGUCUGCCUCUUCGAAAAUCGGCUAACCAAUACCUAGUAUUGCGGUAUGGAGCCAUAAACCCACGAGUGUUUGUAUAUGCGGCAUCACAAAGGUAAUAUUUAUCUGCAAACGAAUGUGACAUAUUAUAUAAUGACACAUAUUAUAUAAAGAAGAUAGAUAAUAAAAAUUAUAUAAAGAUUACAAACCUGGUGGAGGAAAUGGAAAUCCAGAAGUCGAAUUGAAUGCAACUUCUUUCAAAACUCUUGAAUCAUGUGCUAUACCCUCCCAUCCAGCCCAAACAAAGGUGAAUAUCAUAUCAAAAUCACAAAUUCCUAUUACAUUUUGAAAACAUUCUCCUUUUCCUCUUCCUCAAUAACGAGUUUGUUGAUCAACAGGUACAACCGCACGUACAAGAGUUCCAUCUAAUGCACCAAUUGCUCCGGAAAAAAUAUUUUUUAACCGUCUAUGUCGUUCUGAGUUAUGUCUUGUUGGGUUAGGAGUUGUUGGUACUAUAAUUUCUUUUGCAAAACACAUCAUUGCUGUUAGGACCUCGUGAAAACAUUGAUGAAUCGUUUGUGUGGAGUGAUGAAAUCUUCCCUUAACCGCGCGAAAACGUUCAUUAUGUCCUAUAACAUGUAAGAAGAUAGCCAUCUUCUCUUCAAUGCUUAUUGUCCUACUAGCUUGCAACCAAUUUUUUUGGGUAAAAUGGUUGCAUAGUAAUGCAAAUGCCUCUUGUGUAAGACGCAUCAUAUCGAAACAUUGUGUAGGGUCUCCGUAUAUCAAAUCUUAUGUAUACGCAUACCCGCUUGAAUCGUUAUCUCUAAUUCUAAGAAUUCUGAUUAGUCUGCGCCGGUUUGACCUCAACCAAUAAAACACAAGUAAAAGAAAAGCUACAACUUCACCAUCAGAAACCAUACUUGAUCUAUUACAAACAAUUAGGUAAUAUGUUAAAGUAAAAAAAAAAUCAUGCACCAAAAAAAUUAGUAAACAUCAUUAAAAGUAACAAAAGUCGUAUAACAAACGUUGUAUAACAAAAUACUAGUAAACAUCAUCCAAAAAAGUCAUCAAACUAUAUAACAGUAAACCAAAAAGUCAUCAAACAUAGGAUCCAAAAAACUAGUAAACAUCAUCCAAAAAAAGUCAUCAAACAUAGGAUCCAAAAAACUAGUAAACAUCAUAAAAAAAACUAGUAUCCAAACUUUUCUACCCGCACCUAUCAAAGGUAACUAUACUUCCUACCCGCACCCAUCACCCACGACUCACAACUACUAUGCGAAAGUCGUAACCAAACUUUUCGAACAUCAGCACUUUCACCAAAUAGCAAAAGAGCGGUCUUGUGUCUUUCAUCUUCUUCUCCCCAUUCCAUUUUGUUCAAUUUCUCCAUACACGCAUCAACAUCCUUAUCCAUUUCACUUUUUUCAAUUCUUUCAUUUUUUUUCCACUAAUAACCUUACAAUCUUGACAAUCUCCUCUUCAACUUCUAAUGCCCUUGCAUCUCUUUUUUUUCCACCAACUCUUUUGUUUCCACCAACUUCCUUAUUUUUGAACGCCCCGAAGAUUCUUCACUUGCACCUACGUGUUGUGUUGAGGUUUCCAUUAGAACAUCAUCAUCAAAAUCAUGGGGACUAAACUCUUCUACAGGACAAGGGAGUGUAGAAGAUGGCCCCCAACUUUGAGAUCCGGUUGAUGUCAACCCUUCAAAUAGUUGGGUGCAAAGAUCAGGGAACAAUAGGGGUUUAGUUUUCAAUGACAACACGAACUUGUUCAACUGUUUACAAUUUUUAUAAAUAUUAGUAUAUGUUAUAAAAAUAAUCAUAAUAGUAUUGAUUAAAAAAAUAAAUUUAAUCAAAUAGUAUAUGUUAUAAAAAUAAUCAUAAUAGUAUUGAUUAAAAAAAUAUUACCUUCCCCUCUUCUUUCCAUUGUUCAUCGGUCAAAUUAAAUUUAUUUUUUAUAGGAUCAUAUAUAUUGCCGGUUUUGUUUUUGAGUUUCACCCAAGCAACAUACUUUGAUUUGUAGUAGUCAAAGUGGUUUCUCAUUUGCUUCUGAUCAACCUCUUUACCGUGUUCGUUUAUCAAUUUUUCGCGUAUUGUCUUCCAUGAACUUGCCUUAAGCCCAGAACCCUCACGACCAUUAGUGGUUAGUUCAUGGAUACAUGCAUCAAGAAAAGUUUUGUCCUCACUCUCGUUCCAAACCAACAUCCUAAAACAUUAAUAUUUAAAGUAAUUUAUCAUAGUUUUUAUCAAGUUAAAGAACAAUUUUAAACAUAAAGCAAUUUUCAACCAAGGAAGUUAACAUCAUCCUAAAUUAUGAUUUGAUAACUUAUACACAAACAAUUUCAGAUGUCACAAAACAUCAAUAUUCAAGCUAACAAUUUCACAAAAGAUAACAAGCUAACAAUUAAGGUCAACAAUAUCAAAGCUAUAAAAUUAGAAAGAAAAAAAAAACAGCCCAAUUUUUGAUUUUAUAGCUUAUACUUUUGAUACUAAUACAAGCUCAAUAAUUGGAAGACAUGUGAUGUUGCAUGCAUUCCCCCUCUCGCCCACUCUUCAAGGAACAAUUGGAUUAUUAAAAAAGUUAGGUUACCAUUAAUCUUAUAAUAAUUAUUUAUUAUUAAUUUUACUUUUGUACUUUACACAUAAAAACACAACNAAAACCAAAAAAAUAAAAAAAAAAAAAAAAAAAAAAAAACAGCCCAAUUUUUGAUUUACAAACCUACUUGUAUUUUCCAAUUCACAUUCAAUUUCAAUUCACAAGCUAUAAAAUCAAAAUUCAAAAAAAAAACCUUCCAAUUCACUUUCAAUUUCAAUUCAUAAGCUAUAAAAUAUGAACCGGAGAAAAAAACUUCCAAUGUGAAUUGGAGAAAAAAACUUCAAAUUCAGAAAAAAAAACAAAAAAACAAAAACAAAAAACAACUACCAAUUCACAUUCUAUUUUAGAAUUCAUAACAUUAGAAAAAAAAACCUUCAAUUUUCAGUUCUUAUACACAAAGAACUACAAAACAAAACAUAAACAAACUUCCAAUUCACAUAUAAUUUCGAAAUUCAUAUAUUAGAACAAACAAUUUCAGAUUUCAGUUCUUGUACACAAAGAACUACAAAAAAGAACAAAAAAAGCUUAUCAUAUGAACAUACAGGUUGAGAAUUCAUAAUAUUCUAACAUAUACUAAUUUGAUUUCAUAAAGAACUACAAAUUUCAUACCAUCAAAGCAUAAAUGGUAUCUGAUUUUGAAAAUUAUUAACAGAAAAAUUAUCUAACCUGUGUGAUGGAUCGAGAAGGCGUCACUGAUGGCGGUGGCGGAGGUCCGACGAGAUGGCACAGGUCCGACUGGUCGGACUGUUUGGCGUUCAAUGUUGUGGAGUUCUUCCUAGCGGCUGCUGUGCUUUUAGGUCACUAGAAGGGAAGCGAAUGGGGAAAGAAAUAAUAACGACGCAGGGGCAAGAUAAGGGCAAGAUUGUCUAAUUUCCAGUCAGCAACUGUUUAAAAACUGAUCCAGAAAGCGAUUUGGGUCAGCAGAUCUUACCGAGAAAGCUCAAAUCAAACACCAAAGGUCUGACCGAGUCAGCCCAAUUUGCUGACUCGACCCAGUCAGACAUUUAUCAAACACUCCCUUAGAAGUGCACUCUUUAAUAGACCUUGACUGCACACAUCUAUGCUCAUGAACCAAAGUUUUCACCAUCCAAUCGCUUUCUUCAUCAGAUCUAGAAAUUAAUACCACCCAAGGGCAUGUUGCUUUUUGUGAGCUGACUGUUUUAUCCUUGCAUUUGAUUCUACUUUUUGUCCAUGGCCCACCUGUCAUUUUCGGGACCACACCCCUGCAUUUUGCCCUAAUUCUUUUUUUUUUAUCAUUUUUUGAAAAGUAAAUGUUUCUCCUAGUUCGAAUUGAAUGCAUUUUAAUGUAGUCCUUCACUUCUGAUGAGGACUUAAAUAUUUGACCCAGAUGGAAUGCAGUUUCAUGUACUACUCCUGAUGAACAUGUGGUUGGUUUGUUUAACCUUCUCAUUAAUUUCUUCCUCUCAUCUUCUUCUACACCAGUUGAUUCAAAUAAUUGUGUAUCUAUCACCUCCAAAUCCUCAUCAACUGUGACAUCAGGUGCAUUGAAUGAUUGGUGGUUAUCUAGAUUUGGAAAAGAAUAAACACCACUGUGGAAGUCUUUCAUAUUCACUUCGACAUCCUCCACCAUAUUAAGUUCAUCCACUAAAAAGUCACUAUCGUCGCUUAUACUUCCAUCGGUACUAGUCUCAUCACUAAUAACAUCUCCAAUUUCUUCAUUUUCCCCCAUCUGUUGGUAAUCAUUAUGAUCCAUAUAAAAGAAAGGAUCAAAGUCUUCUGAAGGGACAACAUCUUGGGCUUUGUUAAGCUCCUCACUUGCAGGAUGAACUCGAACAUCUUUCACUACAUCUCUAUCAAAAUGUCCAAAAGGUACAACAGACCUAGAAAAGUCAUAGUUCUCAUUCAAGUCCAUUUUUCUACUACAUGAUCCUACCUUUGUACUUGUAAACUUUUUUCGAUUGAGUUCCGGAGAAAUAGGCUCAUUGAUUUCUUCCGAUACGACCUUAUUUGGAGAUAUAAAGUAUGCAUGGAGUCUAGUAGUUCCAUGUUCAGUAUACACCAUAAUCUCUUUAUGAUUAGCAACAUGCUUACUUAACAAAAGUACGUCUGAGUUGUUACCUAAAGGAAGUAACCCAUAAUCGAUUUCAAUCUCAGGAAUCAAGAAGUGGUAGUAGAUAGGCUCACCGUUGAUAUAACCUAUCUCCUUCAUCAUAUCGUCUAACUCAUGUACGGAAAACACGUCCAUGUCUACGUAGUCAACAUAGUCAAUACUCCCACCAACGUAACGUCUUCCUGGGUAUUUUGUGAACAUACCCCCAUGGUGAAUCUUGAAUGUGCAAAAACUACUUAACUCAACUGAAAAACAAAUAAAUAAUGAUAUGAGGAAAGAAUGAAGUCUCAAAAUUGAAUGUGCAUAAAUUACUUAACAAAAUUGAAAGUUGUUAACUGAUCACUCACCAUAAGCUUUGAUCAGGUCAGGAUUUUCUGAGAAUUUUGAACGGACAUUCCACAAAGUUAGAACGAUCGCAAAAGAUGAAAAUGAAAACCCUAGUUUCCGUUUGAUGUUUUGAAGUGAUGAAGAUGAAAAACCAGAGGAGAAAAGAAAGGGAUGAUUUCUUGGGGUAAUGUAAAUGGCAGCUAGAUGUAAGGAUCAUUUAUGAAUAUGAUCAUUUCGUGUAACAAAGCAAAAGACCAAAAUACCCUCGUGUGAGGGUCACGUGAUUUAGAUAAACGGAAACAAUUAAACGGAGUAUGUCAUAAGGACUAUUCGUGCAACAAUUUGGAACCAUAGGGACCAUACUCGUCCAAAAUUCCUCAUAAGGACUAUCUUUGGUCUCUUGUGCCAACCACAGGGACCAUCUGUGUAAUUUUGUCUUUUUUUAAAGAUAGUUCAUAAUUUUUCUAUUAUAUACAUUGUAAAUGAAAUUGAGAACUUAAGUAGGUCCUAGGACCUACCUAAGCACAUGGUGGAUACGCCCCUGUUACCCACACUAACCUCAUACACUUACAACACAAAUGAACUUGAACGGUCUAAGACCAAACCAAGAUAUAAUAUGAAAUGUGUAAGUAUAGUUUAAUAGAUGAAAGUGAGGUGUUGUUUGGGCUUGAAAAGUAGGGGUGAGCAUGGUGCGAUUUUUUGAGAAAACCGAACCGCAAACCGCAAGAUGCGGUUUCUAUAGGGUAAAACCGAUAGGUGUGGUUUUUGUUUCGGCGUGGUUUUACAUGCAUUUUCGGUGUCAUUCGAUGCGGUUUCGGUUUUUAACUGAAAAUAUGUGUUGGUGUGAUUUUUCAUACAUGUGUUGAUCUACCAAAGAAGUAAUAACCCCUAAAGAAGCUAGAGCAAGGCCUAAUUGAAAAUGAAGCCAAUUAUUAAUUGUGUCAUAAAGACCCUCAUGCCCACGUCUCAAUCGCCCUCUUGGAGGGAUAUGUGCAUCUAAAAGAUCUUUCAUACUGUGCCCAAUCCCAAAAUUAGUUCUAUACAUAUGCCCAACAAUAAGAAAAAGAAAUGCAAUAGCUAAAUAAUGAUGAGUCAUAUCAGCAUGUCCAAACCCGACUUUUCAGUUAACUUUCCUUUAUUUCCGGUACAGAUUCUCAUUUAAAUGUAUUUAACAUGCUUGUGAAAUAGUUAUAUGUUAUUCUUAUCAAAAUAUAGACUUCUUUAUGAUAUUACGAUUUUGAGAUUUGAAUUAUAUGUUUGAUGCAACAAGGGAUUUGGUUUUAUAAUCUCAAAUUCCAUUACUUAAUCAUUAUUGUUUAUACAGAUAGAGGCGGCUUUUGAUUCGAAUUGCAUUUUGCUUGUGAUAAGCAAAAGGAAAAUUGUUAAUGGUACGCACUUUGAUACAAAUGUCAAAUUUUAUAAAAAUAUAGCAAAACAUAAGGCAUGCACAGUGGCAAAAAGAACUGAAGAGGUCGAAGUUGAACAAAAUAUACUUUUAUUAAUAAGUAUUAUAAUAUAUUAAAUAUUGUCAGGUUUUUAUGGUGCUGUUUGGCAUUGUCCAAACCGCACCACACCGAAAAAUUACCAAUUAAGGUUGGAUUGGAAUGCAUAAUUAUCAAUUUAUCCUUAAUAAGUCAUAAAUCAACAAAAAUGGCCCAACAAUUUUCUUAAUCUUAAUUGUUGCCUUUGGAUUAGAAAUCAUCAACGAUCAAGAUUGGUUCUCACAAUUCUCUAAUCUCUACUUUUAUGUUGUUUUCAUUUGAACUCAACCCAAAAAUCUCACCAGUAAUCACCACACGAACAAAUCCCGUUCUUGAAAUGAUGAAACCUAUUUGUAUCCCGAAGAAUAAUUUCCCGCUCAACAAUCUUGGAAAUAAGCUUAGCAGCAAUAUGACAAUCCUCACAAACACGUAGAUUUUUAGUAAUCCGUAUAGGCGUAAAAGCUUUAGUAUUUAUAAUCACAAACACAAUAGCAAGCUUCUCACUAUGAACAGCAAGAUGAUUUCCUUUAUCUUCAUCUUCUAUAUCAUGAAGUGCAGAAUCCACUUCAGGAACAUACCCAAAAUCCCUCAUCUUCCCCACAAGUACUUCCAACUCUUGAUAAAUCUGUUUAGAUUGUGGAUGGGAUUGAUCUCCAGCAAGAAACGAAUGAACUUGAUUAUUAAGCUCAACAUUACUAACACCGGGCUCUUUUUUCACUCCUUUUGAUUUCAUUAUUGAACGAAUAUUUGUCACAUCUUUAAAUCUACCUGCUUUUGCGUAUAUAUUUGAUAAUAAAACAUAAUACCCUGCUUGUUCAGGGACCAAUUCAAAGAGAUGAUCUGCUGCUACAAGACCAAUUUCCAUGUUGGAAUGAACUUUACAAGCACUUAACAAAGCACCCCAGAUUCUAUCGUUUGGUUUUGUUUUCAUUUUCUUUAUAAAAUCAUAAGCUUCAUUGAUUCUUCCUGAUCUUCCUAGCAAAUCAACCAUGCACGCCAAGUGUUCGAGUCUUGGAAUGAUGUUAUACUCUUCGGUCAUCAAUUUGAAGAAAUGUUUUCCUUGGUUUAGUAAUCCGGCAUGGCUGCAGGCUGAUAGAACUGGAACGAAGGAAAUGGAAUCAGGGGCGAUUCCGGAAUUUUGCAUAUUUGAAAAGACUGUGAUAGCAGUUUCACCAUCUCCAGUCAUGCCAUAAGCAGAGACCAUGGAAGUCCAGGAGACGACAUCUCUUGUUGGCAUUUCAUCGAACACCUUGCGUGCUUCGUUUAAAGACCCACAUUUAGCAUACAUGUCAAUCAAGGCGUUCUCUACUGUUAGAUUAGGAAGAAGCCUUUUUGUUUUUACAUAUGAAUGAAUCUUUCUUCCUAGUAAUAAAGCUGAAAGAUCUCCACAAGCGGGUAGGAUGCUAGCAACUGUGAUUGAAUCCGGGUCGAUUCCGUAAUUCUCCAUUUGUUGAUAAAGAUUAACUGCAUCUUUAGGCAUCGAGUUGUUGACGUACACAGCUAUCAUGACAUUCCAAGAAAUUAAACUCUCUCGAGCGUGAUUCAUGAACAUUUCUUUCAUAAACAUCACGUUGGUAGAUGAAGUAGAAGUUGUUAAAGCAGGGGAAAGGCUGGCCAUGGUGCCUGCGUUGGGUUUUGAGGUAGAACAUUGCAUCAUUGUCUUACAAAUCUCCAAUGCAUCUUCAAACAUCCGGUUUUGGGCGUAGGCAGCAACCAUAGCAUUCCAGGAGACGAUAUCUCUACUAGGCAUUUCAUCAAACACCUGGCGUCCUUCCAGUAACCGGUUACAUUUUCCAUACAUUGUAAUCAAUCCAUUCCCUACAUAAAGAUUUGAAUGCAGACCCUUCUUGAGAACAGCAACAUGGGUUUGUAAUCCGACCCACAAAUUCUCAGACACGGAACAUGCUUUUAGAACUUGAGGAACUGUAAAAUGAUCAGGGUUAAUGUUGAACUUGAACAUGUUUCUGUACAUACGAAGUGCUUUUUCGUAGAAUUCAUUGUUUACGUAGCUUCUAAUCAUCACAUUGAAGAAGACUACAUCUUUUUGAGGAAAUUCAUCAAACAGUUGGCGGGUAACUGCGAUUUGGCGACAUUCAGAAUAAGCUUUCAUUAAUUUCAGAGCAAUAUGCGAUGCUGAGACGAGGUUUCCAUCAAUAAUUAACCUACAAUGUAUCUUUUUCAAUUGUUUGAUAUCUGGGCACUUGUCCAAGAUUUUGAUACACAAGUCUUCUGUGAUUAACAUGAUUGUUAAGGCGAGAUUUGAAUGAAUUUGAACUUAUAUUCCUUUCGCCAUGUUGUACCUGAGGGGCAAUCAAAUAGAAUGGACGAAGAUAACGAAGGUUUACUUGGUGGUGUUCACUUAAAAACAAGAAAUAUGAAGUUCUAAACGCUAUUUCUUGUUAAACAGAAAAUAUUUUGUCCAAUCUAAAAAUCCAAUUUUUGAGUAAGUUCAAGCUUAAGCUCAAAAAUAGUAAGCAAAACAUGUUUAAAAAAUAAAAGUUCGUUUGAAACUCUUUGGAUAGCUCGAGUAUAACAAUCAUCAUAAUUAUAGUCAAUAAAUCAGGCUCAAACAACCAAACUUGAUGUCCAGCCCUUGAUCAUCCAAUUGCCAACUGAAAUCAACUUAGUUUCCGGUUUUAGAAUCGCCCUAACAUUACAUAAGCACCAACUAGUUCCAAAAGUAGUUUUUAAUUCAAUGUCUCCCAUACCCGUGACUUCAAGGGUUUCCAUGUUACCCAACCUUACCAACUUAAGAUAAGUUCUUUACUUCAAUUACUAUAACAGAUCGAUGAGUCAUGUUCUAAUGACCUCUCGUCAUAUGAUGCAAUGCUUAGACUCGAGUCUUUUAAAGUCAAAUUCUAUAAUGAAAUAUACAUUCCUUCAAGUUUCUAAUGUGAUAUAAUCACAUUCUAGCAUGUAUCACUUCUAGCUACAAGCUUCUUACUUUAACAACAAUCACAAUACUUCUAUUGAUCGCUUUGAUUAUCUUUCAGUUCAAUCUUCUGGCUUAAGUCAGAUGCUACAUCGAUCUUGGUUCUCUGAACCACGUACAAUACUUAUCCUAGCUGUAAUCGAUUUGAUAUGACCACUAGGGUCGGAAUAACAAUCAUCUUCUUAGUCAUUACCGAAAUUAUGGUAAUGACACAUGAACAAAACAGAAUCAAUUACUAGCGUCUUGGUAACUCGUGACUUUCCCUGAUCCAAGUGCGAGUCGUGUGCUUCCAGUAGUAUAUGCCUCUACUACCUUUCACACCUACUCAUACUUGUCCCAAGUAUUGUCUUUCAGUUCUCCAAGUCACCAUAAAAGAAUUUCACAUAGUCAUUUAACACAUCGAAUAACAAAACUAAGGUUUAUAUUAUUUCUUGAAACGAUUACAUAGAUAUUCAAGUUCACCUUAUACCAUGCCUUUUAUAUUAGGCUACACCACAUGAUACUAUCUAUAUGGCUACUUUAUAUCUCGAUCUUCAGAUAUAUAUAGAUCCCUACUCCUAAUCCCUUGUAUCGUCACCUGCUUCAUCCAGGUUAGACUUCGAGAAUCUUCCUUUCUUAUCGAAUCUUGAGGAUCCCUCAAGCUUCUUCUUUUCUCAUGCCUUGUCUUAUUCCAGACCCUUUUUCCUAAAUUAGGUUUCCAUAUUCUUGGUUGCUCUAACGGUUGUCUUCAAAGUAGUUGCCAUUUUUACCAUUGCGCCAAAUUAUGCUGGCAAUCCGUUAGCAAAACUAUCUAUCUUGGAGAGUUCAGUAGCACCAAGUAGGGGAAUAACUUCAUCUGCUCGGUGAAUACGGUGACAUACUCAUCAACACUCAUCUUCCUUUUCUUCAAGUUCGAAACUCGUUGUUUAGGUCUAUCAGAUCUAUCUCUGAGCAGUAUUGCAUUUUCAACUGCUCCAUGAAUGCUUCCCACCUCAGGGCUUCUCCCCCAUGGCUUUGUAUCUGCCAAUAACUUCCACCAACUUAAAACUCUGGUCUUUAGUUGUCUGACUGUAAAGACGGUUUUCUGCUUGUUGCUGCAAUUGCAACUUUCAAAUGUCAUCUCUAUCUCGGAGAUCCAAUCCAUGAUCUCUACUGGCUUCGGGCUUCCAGAAAGACUUGGUGGUUUGGCACCUAAGAAGUUCUUAUACAUACGUUCAUCCUUAUCAAUCGCUUUUUUCGGGUCGUUCCUCCUUGCCACUCGGGGUUCAGCUUGACUCACUGUACGACUGUAAUUUCCCUCCUCCGACAAUUCUUCAUUCAGUUCGGGUUGCACGAUAGGCACAAUAGGUUCAUCCCUAUUAUCAAGAAACAUUUUUCUCAUCUCCUCCCUUUGUUCGGCCAUCAUAGCCCAAAUCAUUGCUUAGACUCUUGCCAUCGUGAUUGGCUCGGGUGCAGCUACUACCUCUGGUGCACAUUUAAUCACUCGUGGUUCAGGCUGUUAGUUUUCAUUAGCAUUUUCUAAUAUGUUGCGAGUUCUCACCAUUUCGAUCUAUACACUCUAGAGAUGUUCAGUGUACAGUGACGAGAAUUAAGAUAUGGAAAGCUUUAUUUACGACAGCCAUAUAAAUCUUCUUAUCACUCGUAAAAGUUAUAUACUAGUUCUAAUACCGUAAUUAAAUGUUUGGAAAUUUUGAGCAAAUGACGGUUCAUCAACAAUAGAGCGAAUCUCAUUUAGGAAUUCGUUGAUAGGUCGAUUUCCUUUAGGAUUUUUAGCAAGUUUGGAUUUUAAAGAGAUGAUUCUUGAGCAGGAGGUGCUGGCAUAGCUUGUGUUGAGAUGCUUUCAUGCUUCUUUUGUGGUAAAUACAGAGGUAAUGAUAGGUUGAAUGAAUUGCAUCUGAGCAUGAACCAAGAAUUGCAUCGAAUACUACAUGAUCUUGGCGAUAGCAAGUCGUGUAUUCAUGAUUAGGUUUGGAUUUGUCUUUGUCGAUAAUGAAUUUUGUGGUAGGAUCAGUCACCCAUGUGAUGUAAUCUUCCAGACCUAGUCCAAUAAAUGUGGACUGCACUUGUCGCCUCCAUACAUGGAAGUUGUUGGUGAGUAAUUUGGUAGGAAAGUGACUUGAGGCGGUGAUUUGUAUUUGGGAUGAUUGUGUCAUGGUGAUGUUGAUGAAAAGGAUUAGAGGAGAAAGGCAAGAUGAUCGAUUGACUCUUUAGAGUGUGUGUGCUCUGAUACGAUAUGAGAUUUGAGAAUCAAUGGGCUCGAAUGAAUAAUUUCAUUUACAAAGAUCGAUACAUAUAUAGAUGGUAACGAGAGUUAAAGAGCUAUACAUGGAAUUUACUAAGAAUAGAUUGCAAUUACAUACAAAUAGAAGAGAUUAUUGUAGAUUAGUCAUGAAGAUGUGUACGAUGUUAUAGUUAGAUUGCUUAUUUGCAAUCCAUGUUAGCUAAGUAUGUCAUGUUGAAUACAAAUUGUAUUAAAACAUUAAAGUUCCAACCAUUAUAUGUUGAAGAAGAAGCAAAUACGCCUUAGUCACACCCAUUCUAAAUGAUAUGGAUGUUAUGGUUGUCGUUUCUAUGCAACCAAAUCGUGAUUCCAAGUUGCAGUUGUCUUACCAAUAUAUCAUGUUAGGAAAAGAUGACAUAGCAUGAAAUAUUGUAUGUUACAACAAAAAGAUAUAUCUUAUAGAUGUCUUGCACAUGGGUUAUUCCUUUUUAAGCACUUAUAUAAAAAUAAUAUCACGUAUGUAUGAUAUCUAUUUUGAGAGAUUUUUAGCAAGCAACUCUUUGUCUAUUAUUGUUAUUGGAUAGAAAAAGUAUCAUCUUCGUUGGGAAGAUUUUACUAGGAUUAGAUUCAUAAUAGUUUGUCAAAGAUUUUACUAUUAUGUAUUUAUAAACCCAUGAAGUUUUCUAUUAAAUAAAUAAAUAAAUAACCAUUCACCAUUUAUAUCUUUUUGGAAUAGAGUUUGUUAAAUUCUAAUAUAAAUAAAAAGAGUAUUUAUUUAGAUUCACACAUUACAAAAUUACAAACUCCAAGCAUAAAUCCGAAACUUAUUUUUAAACUUCUUCAUUUAUAUUACAAGUUUUAUUCUUUUUUCCCAACCCACUUGGGGUUUCGAAACCCUAAAAAAGUUCUAUCCAUGGAAGUUCAUAUUUAUUUCUUAUCUUAAUGAAUUUAAGGUCUAAAUCAAUAAAUGGCAAUGUAGAAUUAACCGCAUAUAUUAAGUUAUUUUUGGAAGCUUUCCAACACAACACAGAAAGGAAAUGAUGAGAAUUUAUGGUACCAAAUAACAAAAUAAUCCCGGUUCCUAUAAAAAUUUAUUAAAGCUCUACUCAUGAUUUCAUAAUCUCCUCUAAUAUGAGGGUUACGUUAUUGUAAUAAUAACUAUGAUAAUGUAAAAGCCAUAACAUAAAUCGUCUUAAUUUAAGAAAUAAUAUAAAUCCCAAGAUAUUGUUUUUAAAAUAAAAAGGAAAAAAGUGGGAGUCCAUUAGAAGGAGCCAAGCUGAUUAUUUGAGCCAAGAGAGCACCGAUUUGUUAUCCUUCCACUGUUCGAAGCGAGAGGUUAUCGCAGCUCUGUGAAGCCAGCCUAACGCAUUGCCCUCUGCUCUAGGAACCAAGAAGCCCAAGCCUUCGCUCAAGCCACUUGAUCCAACUCCGAACUUGGAACGGGCAAACCAGAUUUUGCAACAGCUUUGACCCAACCAAACAAGGCUCGAUCUCAGUCCAUCCCACUUUAGAGCCCUCACUUGAGUCACAAGCUCGC
rnacentral:lncRNA from 1 species